UCGAUGAGACCUUACUCGACUCUCCAACUCGGUUGUCUUUCUUCCUUCUAUUUCUUACUUUGAAUAAUGAUCUGAUUAAAAUUCUGUCUCAUUGUUUUUUUUUAAAAAUCUGAAAACACUUUGUAUUUACACCCAAAAAGGAGCAUGAUGUAGACACAUAAUUUUGUCCCUCCCCAGAUUAUUUUUUACUAUUUUUACCCCCGUCUUAUCCCGCACUUUCACUCAUGUGAUCAUUCUUUCACAAAAAAAAAACUAAAAAAAAGUAAUAAAGUUAUAACAAAUUAACCACCUCUCCAAUUAGAGGUGCACACCUCUUACCCCACACCCCAUCACCUUAUACGUGGGCUCAUCCCCAAUCCUAACUCAUAUUUUUUUCGCUAUAACAGAAUAAAAAACAAUACACAUUCACUAACAGAAUUCUUCAUACACCAUAUAUUCACAGACCUCACUGAAAUUCCGGGGCGCACACAGAAUAUAUACACAAAACAACAGAAUUGGGAAAGGGGGAAUUCAUGUACGCAGUUCAUACGCACUCACAUACGACCAUAGACAGAAUAUUCUCACACUUCACACACUCUCAACACAAAAUCUAUAUGCACACACAGCUCACCAUGUAGAACACAGGAAUAAAAUCAUCGUCACCUUGACCAAGACAAUGGAUACACCCAAUCAGACCUCGUAAUUCUCACUGAUCACACACAGAUAUUCACACAUACACUCACCGGCUGCCUCACAGACCCAUAUAUUCGCACACACAGUUACAAACACAUUGAAAAAAGAGAUCGAUGGAGGGAUAGGGACGAGAGAGAGAUAAAGCAGAGAACAGCGAGAGAGAGAGAGACUGAAAGAGCGACAAAGACGACGAGGGUGGUGUUUUUUGGCGAAACUCCCACCGGAAUCGCUACCGGAAAAAGCAUAACAGUCACUUUAUCAUUCACUGUUGCCAAAAGAGGUCGCAAACCACCGGUAUGAACCCCAAAUCCACCAAUACCGCCGAAGAUCUAUCGUCAAAUCACGUUCUCCGAUCAUUUGUUCUGACGAGUUUGGCCGGAAAAACAUUUAGACGGCGACUGUUGUACUGUUUUAGCAGAAAACACUGUUAAACGAUGUAUCAGUGUUAUAUCGUUACUGUUGGUUUAAUUCCGGUGAAAUUCGGGUUGGUUCCGCUGAGAUUUUGUGUAUGGGCCUUCUCGGUUUGUAGCAAUUUCAGUCUCAAUUUGCUUGAUAUUUUUCUUUCUGGGUUUUAAAAUCUAUUCGAGUUUGCUAUUUUUCGGUAACGAUUUAGUUUGGUUCAUUUUCGAGUUUCGAAUUGAGGUUUUUAGGGUGUGGUUCUAUCUUUGAUAUAUUGAAAAUUGAUAAUUGAGGUCCAAUUCUUCAACUCUCCCUCUUUUCGCUUUAUUUCAAUUUGGUACAUUGAUGUUAUGAUUGUGUGUUGGUGGUUGUGAUUGGAUGAUCGUUGAUGUUUGUAAUUGUUUAUCCGUCAUGGUACGAAUUUGAAGUUAGCAUGGGUUUGGAUAAUUUCUUUGUGUGAAAAUGUGACGUAUAAAAGGAAUUUGGGGUGGAAUUGAGAAAUUGAUAAAAAAAGGUGAAUUUAGAUUAAUUUUGGUUUAUUGUUGCGUUGUUUAAUUCGGAAUAAAUAUUGAGUUUGUGAACUUGAUAGGAUCAUAUUUUAGGCCAAAAGCUUAGUAGGAAAAGUUUAGGUUCGGGUAGGUAAAUUUAGGACUCGUGAAAUAUUGAAUGCUUGAAAUAUGUGUUGAAUGACUUGAUUUUAUUGAUUUUUAGAUCAAAUGUAUCAUUUGGCGGGAAAUGCCCCGAGGUAUUUGUGCUUAUUCAUUGGGGAAUGCCUCGAAGUAUUUUGUAUUCGGAGGACGUUGUAACAACCUCAAUUUCACACCACAACUCCAAUAUAUAUAUAUAUAUAUAUAUUAUACUUCCAAAUCCGAAUACAAAUAAGAAUUCAAGCGACAAAGUAACAAUGGACAAAUACUAAUGGAAAAUCUACGAGUAACAGUUAUAUAUACUUCCAAAUCUGAAUACAAGCGACAACGUAACAAUGGACAAAUACUAAUGGAAAAUCUACGAGUAACAGAGGAAGAAGGUAACUAGAAGGAGAUGAGAUAAUAGACCAUUGAAGAGGAGAUGAGAGAACAUAGACUAAGCCGAAGCUUCAACAUAAUUUGCAUGAACCUUCUAUCUAAUCCCAGAUCCUAUUUAACCAAUUGACAAUCGGGCCUGGAUCCCAAAUAAAACACUCCAACAUCUCAAUAAGUCCAAUAAUCUCAGCUGGAUCAGCCCAAUUCACCACUUCUAACCCAUAGCCCCUUAUAAAGUUGACUUGGUUCAUAACAAUACUCCCAUCCUGAAAAAGAAUCUUGUCCUCAAGGUUCGAGUAGGAAAACAUAAGUUUGGAACAUGAAAAAUAAGUCGUUGCUAGAGCAAAUGUUGUGGCAAAAAUAUUAUUCUGACUCAUUCUUGUCUCUGUGCCAUUAUUUGAGUCCAUGUAAAAGGCAACACUUGCAACCUUUGAUGAUUCCUUUGAAAAAUCCACCAUAGUCGCAUGCCCCCAGGACUUAGUAAGACAAACUGGGUAUUCUUUGAAAAUAAGAAUUAUAACACUAGUGGCUUUCAUUGCAAUUAAGCUCAAUGAUUCUAUUAAACUGUUCACCGCGCCAAAGACAAGAGCUUCCUGCUUUAUGUCUUUAUCCAUUCUUAUCGCAGGAUUGAGUACACUUAAUAUAACUUUGGACAGCUUCAGUAGAUAUCUUAAAACACUCUUAAUAAUCUUGUAGUCACAUGCUUCAACAACUAUUUGAAUAGAUUUGGGUACAUUUUUGGUAGAAGCUGCACCGCAGUUUGUGUUCCAACAAAAUCAGCCCCUCUUGUUGCCAAAAUGGUAUCCUGAUGCAUGAUAAAAUAAGCUAUAUUUGUCUUCGCGCCAAUGUAGGCAAACAGAACCGCAAGCGUAGAGAAAUUUCGCAACUCCUGUCAAUCAAGUCUGCCAUGAACUUGAUGCAACCUCGAAGCCAUGCAAUACACUUAGUUUUUGCAACUUCUUUUCCCUGUACCUCCAUUUUAAAUGCACUAGCCUGCUCAGUUAUUUUCUGUAGAAAAUAGAAAUCAUCUCCUAUUGUGGCAUACCAUACCUUACUCUUUGGAGAUUGGAGAACAAAAAUGGGUUGAGAUAAUAGUUGUUGAAGGAAUUGGAAUAAUUUGGGAAGAUGUAUAAUAUUCAGAGAUGCAACUGGUUGUAGCUCUCUCGACACAGCUCCUUAAAAACUAUCAUCAUACAUACGAUUCACAUCAGAGUAUAUAUCAUCCACUUUUGAUUUCCUUGCUAACAACUCAUAUCUUUGUUGUCCGAGAUCCCACACUUGAGUCACAAAAUUAGCAUAUGCAAUGAAGCCAAACGUACUAGUAGAGACCAACAAUAUUAGUGGCUUCGUGUUCACUAUAUAAUCGACGAGAGCCUUGAACUUGGAACUUAUACCAGGAUUCCAUACAGAGAGAUUCAUUGCACCUCCGUGAACUUCGACACCAAAGGAAUUUGCACCAGGGGUAAAUGGAAAGUGACACAAACUAUUGUGAGCAUUAAAUUCCUCAGUAAAUUUUCCAUCAAACAUCAUUUCAUCCAAAGGCAUAUUACUUGAUGGAAUUCUAUCCUCAAUCUUCCGAAAAAAUUCAUCCAAAGGCAUAUUACUUGAUGGAAUUCUAUCCUCAAUCUUCCGAAAAAAUUCAUCCAAAGGCAUAUUACUUGAUGGAAUUCUAUCCUCAAUCUUCUGAAAAAAUUCACCAAGAUAUAGAUCCUCAAUAGUCUGAGGCUCCAAGAAAAACUCAGCAAGAUACAUGUCAUCAAGGGUCUCAAAUUCAAUUUUCUGUUUACUAGAACUACGAUCCAGAGAAGUAGCAGUAACAUACCUCUUUGACAUACUUAUUAGGGAACCUUCAUCUAACAGUUGGACUUUGCUGCAUUCAAGGCAUAAUGCUUCUUCAUCAAGCAUUUUGAUUAGUGAAUCUAGUUGCACCUCCGCAACUACCUUGUGGCAGCAACUAUGAACAUUCGUCGAGUACCCUAGUUGAUUGAAUAUUGUUCAAAUCACCUAGGGAGAUAGAGGCAGGAGACGUUUCCCCCACUUCUUCAGUGAAAACUCUGGUAGACAUUGCAUCGAACAUAUUGUCCACAUGGCCUGAAUGUUCAUUGAUGAAAGUGUCAAGUAUCCCCCGAUGACCCUCAACAUUAUCCACAAGGCUUGAGUUUGCUUCUGCCAAAGGAGAAGCAAUCUCUCCGCUACAGACUGUAGUAGCACUAAUCUGUGCAUCUGCUACUGUAAUUUGAUGAGACGAACAUGAAUAUUUCUCCUUGAUCUUCUGUAGCAAAGUGAGACAACUAGUAAUUUAAGCAUUCACCAGAGGAGACUUGGCAUAGGUCCGUUUUGAAAACGCAGCGCUAACUUCUCCUUGAGAUGCUUCCAAUAAAAAAAUUAGUUGUUGCGAAACAUCCAACGGAACCACUCGAGGGCCUCACCAUCUAGAUAGUAGGAAGAAAGAGGUAGCCAGUGUUCCUUCGAGAAGCUCAGGAAAGAGAAGUACCGCUCUGUCCUAGAAAUCCAAUCCUCUGGAUUAUCGGUGCCAUUGAAGUGAUCUAAUACCAUUAUUUCCAUUAGAGUUCUCUCAAUGAAAGCACCAAUGUAACAACCUCAAUUUCACACCACAACUCCAAUAUAUAUAUUAUACUUCGAAAUCCAAAUACAAAUAAGAAUUCGAGCGACAAAGUAACAACGGACAAAUACUAAUGGAAAAUCUACGAGUAACAGAGGAAGAAGGUAACUAGAAGGAGAUGAGAUAAUAGACCAUUGAAUAGGAGAUGAGAGAACAUAGACUAAGCCAAACCUUCAACAUAAUUUGCAUGAACCUUCUAUCUAAUCCCAGAUCCUAUUUAACCAAUUGACAAUCGGGCUUGGAUCCCAAAUAAAACACUCCAACAUCUCUAUAGGUCCAACAAUCUCAGCUGGAUCAGCCCAAUUCACCACUUCUAACCCAUAGCCCCUUACAAAGUUGACUUGGUUCAUAACAAACGUUCGUGAUGAAGGCCCGAGGCGUUGGGUAGAGCAUAGUCUAGGAUUAGCUUAGAAUAAGAUUUAUAUUUUCACAUUUUUCUAUUUUGGACUGUAUAAUCUGAUUGGAUGCUAUAUUUUGAAUUGUUUUGUUUCAUUUGUUUGAUUGAUUGUUCUAUAUGUUUUUUGUGUGGUUUAUGCAUUCAUAGUGUCAAAUUAGCCGAUAUGCUCCAUCGAGCUACCGUGAUUGAACCACGGGAUCAAGGGGUGCCUAACACCUUCCUCUCGAUCAACAAAAUUCCUUAGAAUGAAUCUCUGUUCGCAAACCAUUUUAAAAGAGUCAAAAACAGUUUUGAAAAAGGAUUUUCAAAGGUGAAUUGGCACACCCGAUUAAGUCAAGUGGCGACUCUGAGUUGAUUAUAAAAUGAAUCCUUUUUGAAACAAUUUUCAUCUUUUGUCAUUAAAUAAUAAAAAUUCUUUCAAACCUUAAAAUUAUUUUUUUUGGUUAAAAAAGGGGUGUGACACUGAUCGAUCCACAACCUGCUUAGGAGACCCCAAUAUAUUUUUGAUCAAAAACAUGCCCGAGCUCCGUUUGAACAACAAAACGGCCCCGCCGACCCCUACAGCCCAUCCCUGGCUGAUCCACAACCUUCCUGGGAGCCCUUGGUCAAUUUUUGGCCCAAAAAAUGCCCAUUCUCGAGCACACCCAAAAAAUCGUGAGCUACAACACAAUAAUUUAGCCUAAAAAUGGCCCGUUCGUAUCGUUUGACCACCCAAAUAGCCCUGCUGACCCCAAGUCCAUCCUUGGUCGAUCCACAACCUGCCUGGGAGCACUCGAUCGAUUUUUGGCCAAUAAGAUGCUUGAUCCCUAGGCAAACCUAGAAAAUCGUGAGCUAUAGCACGCCACCUAAAAAUGACCCUUUUGCACCGUGUUGCCUAUUUGACCACCCAUACGGCUCCGCCGACCCUAAAGGCCCACUCCUGACCAAUCCACAGCCUUUCUAGGAGCCGUCGGUCAAUUUUUGGCCCGGGAUCCAUGCAUACCCAGAAAACCUUAAGUUAUAGCACAUUGAUUUGACCAAAAAAUGGCCCGUUCGCGCUGUAUCGCUCAUUUGACUACCCAAAUAGCCCUACCAACCCUAACGGCCCACCCCUGGAUGAUCCACUACCUCCUUGGAACCCCUCAACUGAUUUUCAACCAAAAAUAUGCCCGAGCCUCGGGCACACCCAGAAUAUCGUGAGCUAUAACACACCGAUUUAUCUCAAAAAUAGCCUAUUCACAUCGUUUCGCCUGUUUGACCAGCCAAACGGCUUUGCCGACCCCAACGUUCACCCCUAGUCGAUCCAUAGCCUUUCUGGGAACCCCCAAUUGAUUUUUAGCCAUAAACACACUUGGGCCCCGGGUACACCCAAAAACCGUGAGUAAUAGCACACUGAUUUGGUCCCAAAAAUGGCCCAUUCGCACCGUAUUACCCGUUUAACGAACCAAACGACACCGCUAACCCUAACGACCAAACCCUGGCCAAUCCACAGCCUGCCUGGGAGCCCCCGAUCGCUUUUUAACCCAAACAUGCCCAGGCCCCAGGCACAACUAGAUAAUCGUGAGCUAUAGCUCAUCAAUUUUACCUAAAAAUGGCCGAUUUAUUCCAUUUUGCUCUUUUGACCACCCAAAUGACCCCGCCAACCCCAACGACCCACCCCUGGACGAUCCACAGCCUGUCUAGGUGCCCUCAAUCGAUUUUCAGCCAAAAACAUGCUCAAGACCUGGGCACACCCAGAUAACCGGGAGCUACAACACAUUGAUUUGGCCCAAAAAUGGUCCUUCGCGUCAUUUUGCAUAUUUGACCAUCCAAACAACCUUUUCGUCCCCAAUGACCCACCCCAGGCUAAUAUUUGACCUACCUGGGAGCCCCUGGUUGAUUUUUGACCUAAAACACAAUUGAGCUUCGGGCACACCCAGAAAAUCGUAAACUAUAGCACACCGAUUUGGUCCAAAAAUGGCUCGUUCGAGCCAUUUUACCUGUUUGACCACCCAAAUGGCCCCAUCAUCCACAACGACCCACCCUUGGCCAAUCCAUAUCUUGCCUGGGAGCCCCCGAUUGAUUUUUUGCCCAAAACUAUUGACACCUAAUUUUUGCACUCUAGAACUAAUUUUAAUUUCGAGUUUUAUCGAUUUUCAAAUAAGAUUACAAUAUUUAUUUUAUUCGAAUAAAUGCUUUUUAAAGUAUUUAUUGAAAUAAUUUUGCCAUUUUUAAGUAACGAUUAUGUUAUCGUAUUCAAUUAUACAAAAUUAUAUAAUUUUGUUACUUAAAUAUUUAUUUUGCGAAAUAUCGGAUUUUAAUCAAGAAUUACCUUGAAAAUGAAUUUGAAUGAUUAAAAUCUUGAUUUAAAAUUCAUUUGUUCUUGAAAAUAAUUUAUUUGAAAAAAUAAUAAUAAACAAAUAGAUAAAAAUAUAUUUUUGUUUGAUUUUGUUAAAUCAAGAAACUCAAAAUCAAACGAGGUAUUGAUUUGUAUCAAAUUUUGACUUAAUUUAGUCAAUUUAUUAAAUUUGACCAUAAUUGAAACCAAAUUGACCACAAUUGCAAGGCAAUUGAUCAAUUUAAUUUUCAGUUUGAUCAAACUAUUUAUUAAAAUCCUAAAUCUUAGUCGGAGGUUAUGUUUUAAAUAACCUCCAAAAUUAUAAUAAUCCCAUCACCCAACAAGAAGAGGCCCAAUUCCAACCCCUUAAUUAAACCAGCCCAUCUCUCCUUUUAAAAAAUUAGGCCAACUAUCCAACAUCAGCAGGCCAAUCUUAUUUUUCUUUCCCCUUUUCCCUUUUAGCACAAAAUCAACAGCUGAAGCAACAAUGGUCAAAUCGUACCAACCUUAUCCUUGAAUUCAAUUUUCAAAAUCCUUUCCGAAAAUCCAAAAAUAUCCCCUCCGUUCCCCUCAAAAUUAGUCCAAAAAUCUACUAUAAAUACCCAAGAAGAAGAGUUAACAAGGGGGAAUUCUUUUGGGGAAAAACUUGGAGGUUCGGGAGGCGGAUGCUUCUAAUCUCACGCAACCGAAAUUCUUGAAGAACACAUUCAAAAAAUCAAUUCCGACUAAAAGUUAAAACUCUGGCAAGUCAAGAUUGAAACCCCGGGGAAAACAACAUAAAUUUCGGUGAAAUUUCGUUCUCUUGAAGCUCGUUCUGCCUCGGUUUCUGCCCGUAAACAAGUGAAAAAUUCACCCAUUUUGCAUUCAUAAAAGUAUAACAUGUGCAACUCAACAAAAUUUUAAUUUUCUAAUGUAUGGAGUUUAUUUAUAGCAACCUAACAAAAUUGGAUUGUAAUCGGAAAUAAGAGCACAAAUUAGUUAAAUAAUGUAAUAGUAUAGUCCUUUUCUUUCUCACCAAAACUAGGAAAUUAUCUUCUUGAAAUAAAACCUAACAAAAUAAUUGUUGUUAGUGGAAGAUCCAAGGAAUAUUAGACUAUAUUCCAUGGACAGGUUCGAAUUGUGGACCAUAUGACAAGUGAUUCAAUAACUAAAUUAGACUUUAAUCAUCAAUUAAUUUUAUCUUGGUCUUGUUCCAUUUUCAAACUAAACUACCGUUUGACAAUAGAUUUUAAAGUUAAAACUAGUGUAUGAGAAUAACCAUGCUAUGUUGGGAGAAUUUAUUUCAUAUCAAAUCUUAUAUUAUAUUUGUCUAAUCCUUAUCUUAUCUCUUUUUUUUUUUUUUUGCAUGAAAUCCAAUAAUAUCAUGUCAUUGGACUCCCCUCUUGCAUAUCCGUUGAGUCAAGCUUCAUUAAAGUUCGAAAAUGGACUGAUAUACAUCAGCGGGCAUUGAUAUACAAUACGGUAUACACUUGUAUACAAAGGAUAUACAUUGGGAUAGCUGCAGCUGAACAUACUACAUGGUGCAGCAAAAAAUGGAAGUAGGCACGCGGAUUUAUACGUUGAUAUAUGGAGUAUACGCGGUAGUAUAUCCGAGAUGUAUAAAAAUGCAGGAGGAUAAUAGCUGCUGUAUACAACUAAUAUACAUAAAAAACUGGAUUGAAAAUCCAUGGAGUGUAGGCCCAAAAGCUGGGCAGCCCAUUAAUGGUUCAAAAGAGCCCAAUUUUAACUCUUUCUUUAUUUCAUUUCUUACUUAUUUGUAUUUAUUUGAACACUAACUAAUGGAGAUAAAUCCGCUAAAGCGUUAGCAUCUUAUUUUAUCACGGCUUUUGGUCAAUUCAUAAUUUUCUCACCUAAUUUAUCUCGUCUAAAUGAAUUAAAAUGGUUCUUUUGACUUUUCUUCCUAAACACUAAUCUUAAAAGAAAAAUUGCUAAGCAUUUUGUUAACAUGGCGUUUGUCUUGUUCAUAUGAUCAAUAGCCUACUUGGGUUACAAUAAUUUCCUUCAAACUCGAUAAGUUCUUUUCUUCUCGUUAAUUCUAACUUUCCAUAAUUAAUAACAUAUUUUUAACAGGAAAUUCCCUUAACAUCCUCCAAAAGUGUUAUUUAUAGCAAAAUUAAUUUUUUAUUUUUUAAAUAAUAAUAAUAACAACAACAACAACAACAAUAAAAACUAAUUAUGUAAUUUCUUUUUUAUCAUAAAAACAAUCCAAGUGUGCCAUUUAGUUUAAACAGGUUUCCCUUUAAUUCAAGUAGAAUAUUUCGCAAUUAAUUAUGAAUUAAGUAAAACAUUUCUCAAACAUAGUAUUUUGAAAUGUUUCUAAAAAAUUAAUCGUGAAUUAAAUGAUAUAUUUCAUGUUUUUUCCUCGACAUCAAGAAUGGAUUAAGCGAAACAUGUUGUACUUUUUCUAAUACAAGUAGAAUAUUUCUUGUUUGAAUGAACAAAUGCCAAUUUAAAAUAUAUUAAUAAAUGAUUUUAUUAGCAACUCUUUCACAAAGUUAGUCACCCUUUUAAGUUAGUCAAAAAAUAUUCUUUUGGUGAAUCGUUUUCUAACGGACGCUCCUAAGUGCCUUAAAAAUCCUUUUAGAGCGUUAAUUGGACUCUUACUCAGUUUCUCUAAUUUUGAAGAUUUAUUUCUAUUUUUGAAUCUUUGAAAUUUCUUUAAGUUUUCUUGAUAUUUUCUAUAAAAAAUCAAGUAUCGACUCUAUAAAUUUUUCUCAAAAAUUAUUUUGAAAACAUCUUGAGUUUUGAAAUAGUUUAAAAGGGGUCAAAACCAUUUUCUCUAAAUGAAAUUCGAAAAUGGGAUAAAACAGAAAUGGUGACUCUGCUGGGGAUGUUCUAGGUUCUAACCAAAAGGAAUUUUCUAACUUGUUGUGGCUAAUUAUUACAUGUUUAUUCAUUUAAAUUUCAUAUAAACUGUCAUUCCAUUCAUAUUUCUUCCAUUUGAAAAAAUUGACACAGUCACACGUACACGUGAGGUAUGUUUCGCACCUGCAAACUUCUUUCAAAUUCUAAAUUCUAGGAGAGUUGACGUAUGUACGGUGUGUCUAGAUCUUUUGCUGUGUGACCGCGUAUCCUUCUCACUCGUGUUGUCCACUCGGGAGCCUUAUGUCUAGUAAGCCAAAUCUUAGAAGAAUUUAAGAUAGAGCUUCCCUGAAUAUAGGCCAUGCAUGCAUAAGCCAUAGAUGGUUUGACCCGUGGUGUCAUUCUAUGAAUUUAGAAAACGCUCUCAUGUCAAAAGGGUUCACGACCCAAUGACGAUCCUCAUAUUAUGUGCAUAUGAUAAUAAUAAACGGAUCCAAACCUAAUUGUGAUACUGCGAGUUUGGGAAAUGUGUACUUAUUUUAUUGUAUUUACUUGUAGGAUGAAUUUAGUUUCCCAAGUGCCCAAGAUUAGAAUGGUCGAAGGUGUUCCACACAAGUUGAGGAUAUAGUGGGAAAAUUUUGACUCGACUGAAAAAUUAGCAAUCACCAGAAAAUUGGGGUUCCUCCCUACACUCCGCAAGAUCUCUCCCCCACAUUAGAGUAGAUCUAUUACUUCACUAAUUUGAAAUAUCAAGGAAGAGGUCAGAUCAUCCUGCAUAUUCAUUCAGGGAAGAAAUUUCUUCGCUACUUAGGAUUAAAGAACACUGAUGAACUCCGUUGUUUCAAAAACAAUUGGGUUUCUUUGGAUUAUUUGUACGAGAGAUACAGUCAUCAAGAUAGUUAUAAGCUAUUCAAGAAGGAGGUCGUUUUCACUUCUACCCAUUGGCGGGUUAGACGUUCAAUUGCAUUUGUCGUUGCCUUGCUAAGGACUUUGGUACUUCCACAAGAAUAUGAAAAUAUUAGUACUUGCAUAUGUUCUGUGUCUCGAGCAUUUUUUAAAGGAGUUGAUGGAGCAGAAAUCACCUUGGUUCCUAUUAUCUUGGAGGAAAUAUUUUGGGCACUCAGAAAGUGUAAAAGAGGUGAAACACGGUUCUUUGAAGGUUGCAAUCUCUUUCUGCAGAUGUGGGCAAAAGAGCAUUUCUACAAGCGUGACAAUAUGACUGGCGUAAUGUGUAGCACUUCAUAUAAGAUUUGACAUUCCUAAUGAUAGAAUGAGGAGGUUUAUUUCCUCGGGUGAUAUUGAUGAUUGGUUUGAAUUCUUAGCCUCUCGUACCAGUGACCAAAUCCAGUGGAGAUACCCACUACUGUCAUGUUCCAUGGCUUACAUACGGUGCAUAUGACUUUAUUAUAUUGAACUUAUCGGGUUAACAAGUCUACAACCAUAUUCCCGGUGCGUGUACUACGUUGUUCAGACACAAAUCAUCUAUCUUCGAGUAAAUAUGCGAGUUUCAUAAAUCCUUUUUGGACCAGACUUCAGAGUUCAUAGGGCCAAUCAAAUUUUGCAUGAAUGGAGUAAAAUUAUCACAAUGGAGGUAAGACACGGACCAAUAGAGUGUAUGCCAAAAUCCAGGUAUGGGUUUAAGAAUAUCGUGCCGAUAUAAAAUCGGUCUAGAAAGGGAACAAGGUUUUUAGGAUGUUGGGAUGAUUAUUUGGAUAAGGUAUUUUUGGAUUGGAACCACAGUGGUCACGCUUGAAAUAUAGGAUCAAAUGUCCAACAUAAUGCAGUAUUUGAAAAAUAUGGGAGCGGGGCCUAGCAAUGUUGAGGCAUUAUCUUCACGUUUCCCACCAGCAUGAUUUGUUAUUUUUGUUAUGGAUUUUUUGAGAGUUGGUUAUUUUUGUUCUUUUAUGAAAAAAUUAUCAUAUAGGGGUGGAGUACAUGGUAAGGUGUAUUCAAAAGUGAUUUUGGGAGGGAUAAAAUUACGUGUUUACAGCCUGCCCCUUUUUGAAUGUAAACACAAAGUAUUUUCAGACAAAGAAGUAGACAACGAGAUAAAAUUUUGACCAGACCAUUAUUCAAAAGGGAGGCAAAGAAGGGCAGAGUACCAACGAGUCUCGAUUUAGGACAUCAUACUUACCAAGUUAUAUGAGAAUCAAGUCACAGGUAUCUCAAGGGUUGAAAGGAGAGGGACUAUCCAUUCCGCGGUUCUGUUAUUACAUCAAAAUAAAAAUUACAAGUUAAAAGAUAAAUAAAAUUAUAAAAGUCCUAUAUAUGCAGAUUUUUUGGCUCUUGACUUGCUAUUUCAUUAUCCUAUUCUCCAAGCGGGCUCCUUAUUUGCAAUUUCCUUACUCAAUUCUUCGAGCGAGCUCCCGACUUUCAAUUUCAUCACCCUGUUAUUUAGGAGGGCUCCCGAUUUGCAAUUUCAUUACCUUAUUGCUUGACUUUCAGUUUCUUCACACUGUUCUCCAGGAAGGUUCCUGGCUUGCAAUUUCUUCAAUUGUUGACUUUCAAUUUCUUCACCUUGGUGCUUGACUUUCAACUUCUUCACCUUGUUACUUGACUCUCCAUUUAUUCGCCCUGUUCUUGAUCCUGAAAUCACAUCAAAACUAGAAAGAAAAUUAUCCCAAAUAAAAGUUAUGAUAGAAAUCUUACUUUUCAAAAAAUAAAGUCUUAUUUUUCAAAAGGAUCCUAAAUGAUGCUUUCAAUAACACGACUUAAAUUUUUGCCCCAGUUUAUCAUCAGAAAACUUUUACGAACGUAAAUCUAAUCAUAACUACUUGCAUGUUGCAAUGAUGAAUCAAUACUCUGACUAAGAAACGCAUCUCUUGAGAGAGAAAUUAAAUGACCAAGACUAGGAAGUGUGUCUCCUAAGAAUUAAAGUGAGAAAUUCUGACUAAAGAGUGCAUCUUCUAGGGAUAAAGGUUUAAGUUAGGAAGUGUGCCACUUGACAAAUAAAAACUGAUAAGAAAGUACGUCUCUUAAGGGUUAAGUGCAAUGGCUCGACUAGAAAAUGCGGCUUCUAGGAGCGAAGGUUCAAUUUAGGAAGUGCAUCACCUAAUAAAUGAAACCUGAAUUACUCAGCUAGGGAGGUGCAUCUCUCUGGGGUUGCAUGGAAGGACUUGACCAGAAAGUGUAUAUUCUCGGAGUAAAAAAAUUAAGUUAGGAAGUAUGUCACCUAGCAAUCUAAACUUGAACUACCCUGACAAGAAAGUGCGUCUCCUAAGAGUUAACUACUCAACUAGAAAGUACAUUUUCUAGGAGUAAAGGUUUAAGUUAGGAAGUACGUCUUCUACGAGCAAAACUUGAAUUAUCCUGACAAGAAAGUGCGUCUUCUAAAGGCUAACUAGUCAACCAGAAAGUACAUUUUCUAGGAGUAAAGGAUUAAGUUAGGAAGUACGUCUUCUAACAAGUGAAACUUGAAUUACUCUAACAAGAAAGUGCAUCUCCUAAGGGUUAAGUGGAAUGACUGGACUAGAAUGUGAAUUUUCUAGGAGUCAUGACUUAAGUUAGGAAGUGCAUUACCUAACAAGUAAGAUUCGAAUUACCCAAUCAAGGAAGUGCAUCUCCUUACAAAUAUUACUUGAAUUACCCAGAUAAGGAAAUGCAUCUCCUUACAAAUGCCACUUAAAUUACUCAAAUAAGAAAAUGUAUCUCCUUACAAAUGCCACUUAAAUUAUCCAAACAAGGAAAUGUGUCUCCAUACAAAUGCAGUGCGAAUUACCCAAAUAAGGAAAUGCUUCUCCUUACAAAUACCACUUAAAUUAUCCAGACAAGAAAAUACGUCUCCUUACAAAUUCCACUUAAAUUACCCAAACAAGGAAAUGCGUCUCCUUAUAAAUUCCACUUGAAUUACCCGAACAAGGAAAUGUAUCUCCUUACAUAUGCCGCUAGAAUUACCCAAACAAGGAAAUGUGUCUCCUUACAAAUAUCACUUAAAUUAUUCAGACAAAGAAAUGCUUCUCCUUACAAAUGCCACUUGAAUUACCUAAGAAAAUGCGUUUCUUUACAAAAGCCACUUAAGUUACCCAAUCAAGAAAAUGCGUCUCCUUACAAAUGCCACUUGAAUUACCUAAGAAAUUAUGACUCCUUACAAAUAACCCUACCGACCAUAACGACCCACCCCUGGCUGACCUACAUCUUGCCUGGGAAACAUCGGUUGAUUUUUUGAACAAAACACACCAAGGCCCUAAGAAUACCUAGAAUACCGUGAGUUAUAGCACACCGAUUUGACACAAAAAUUGUCCAUUCACACUAUUUUGCCAUUUUAACCACCCAAAUAUUGCCACUGAACCCAACGGCUCACCCCUGACCAAUCCACAGCCCGAUUAGGAGCCACCAAUCUAUUUUUAAUCGAAAACACGAUCGGGCCUCGGGAAUACCCAGAAAACUGUGAGCUAUAGUACACCGAUCGUUUGUGCUGUUUUACUGAUUUGACCACCCAAACAGCCCCACCCUCCCCAAUGACCCACCUCUUUCUAAUCCAUAAUUUUUUAGGUUCUCGAUUAACUUUUGGCCCUAAACACGCCCGGUACCCAGGUACACCUAGAAAAUCAUAAGCUAUAGUAUACAAAUUUUGCUUAUAUGCGCCGUUACGCCUGUUUGACUAUUCAAAUAACUCCGUUGACCCCAAUGGACCACCCCUGGCUAAUCCACAGCCUCUAUGGAUUCCCUCAAUCAAUAUUUGGCCUAAAACAGACUCUGGCCCUAGUUACACUCAAAAACCUGUGAGCUAAGCACACCAAUUUGGCCCCAAAAUGGCCCAGUCACGCUAUUUUGCCUAUUUGACCACCUAAACAGCCUCAUUGACCCCAACGUCCUACCCUAAGUGUCGAGCCCUAUUUCGAACCAGUCGAAACAGCACGCGACGUAUAGUGGCGUUUAAUGACUCUUGGGUUUUGAAAAUUAUUUUUUAGAGUCGCCACCUAACUUUUUAGGAAAAUUAGGAAAAACCAUUUUUUAUUGUAAAAACUCUGUUUUAGUCUAUCAAAAACAGUUUGAGUUUCUAAGUAAGGGUUUUGGUUACUCGAGGGGAAGGUAUUAGGCACCCCUCAGAGCCUAUCCGAAGAUAGUCCUUACGCUUAGUUUAGGAAAAUAUUAGGAAAAGCUUUUAUUUUUGGUUAUUUGCUUAAAAUGGUGAUAAAAACUUCAUUGUUAUUAUUUUUUAUUUCAAAAGAGAAUUUGAGGUAUAAUAAAUGCGACGCUACCACAUAUCAAGGAAGUAAUGUAAUUAUUAUAUAUAUGUUACGUAGAUAUUAAAAAUGUGAAAAAUAGCCUUUAAAAAAACUUUAUCAUUUUAGAUGCAUGGAGUUAAAUAGGUAAAUAAGGUAUGUAAGAAUGUUUCAAAGCAUGAAUAAUUUAUUUAAGACAAAAUGUGAAUAUUCAAAAAUAUAAAAAGAUGUAAAAAUUUUACUCAAAUUGAUUUAGAUUGAAAAUAAGUGAUAGAUAAUGACAAUGCAUAGGUAUAGUGAAGUUGAGAUGAUGAUGAUGAUAAUAAUAAUAAUAAUAAUGAUAAUUAUUAAUACUAAUGGUAGUGUAAAUAAUAGUGGUGAUAGUAAUGUAUGAUAAAAUAACUACUAUAAUGAUAUUGAUAAUAAUAUACCUUGUAUGUGAUAGCGGGUGAAUUCAUAUACCUUGCCUUUCUUAUACUUUGAAAUCUGAAGGCUUGAGUGUUGUUAAAAAAAUAUAAUUAAAAUUGUUAGAAUUAUUUAUUGAAAAUAAGUUAAAAUAAGUGUCAGGCUCUCUUGAAAAUCUCAGAUCUAGCGACUUAUUUCUCGACCAUGUAACACGGAAACUUCGUUAUAUAUUUUGCUACGUAUUGUUUAAAGAAAAUAUGAAGGUUACUAAACUAGUCUCACUUAAAAUACUUGUGAAGAGUUUUUCAAAGGAUUGGUGGAGUAUGGUAAAGCAUAUUUUAAUCUAAUAACAAACACGAGAUAUUUGCGAAUUACGUGAUGCUCAAAUCAUGGCUAAGAGGGUCAAUAAAUGAUAGAGUAGCUCAGAUUCUAAAAUCACACAAAUCUACCUCAAACAAACUUAACUCUUAGUAAUUAUUCUAAAAUGUAAAUAUAAAUUAAAUCAAAGAUGACAAAGAAUAAGAAUUUUGGUUAGGAGCUUAGACUCCUAAUUUUGCGGGAUUUCGAGGUUCUGCAAUCCUAGUUGCGAUUAAUCUGAUACUUGGGUCGAAACGAGUCCCAUUGCGGUAGUCCCAACUCCCGAGUUCACAUGCAAAAAGAAAAAAAAAGAUAAAGAUUAGAAACAUGACAAAUUUCAAAGAGAUAACCAAGGCAUAACUGCAAUAUGCUAUAUCUAUAUCUCAAUCCAGUGAUUCCUAAAAGGAUGCAAACAUUCAAACACAAAAAUAAAAUUCUUCUAAGAAGAGUUUAAUAUACAAAAGCUAGCCAAACACUUCUUUCCUAGGCCUAAUUACAUAUUUUCGAGUUUGAGGUAAACAACAACACCAUAAGCAUAACACGUCAGGGUAGUGUCCUCUUCAGAAAUGAAACAAGGUAGAGAAAUUUACAUCAAUACAAGGCUUUGGGUCAAAUCAUUUUUUAGUUAGAGUCCUAAUUGUAUUUAAAACUGAGGGAUUUCUUUGACACAUCCCAUGACAUAACUAGUUACCUGGUAAUCACUUUUAUACACACAUAUUGUUUUAAACCUGCUACGGGUCAUUUUGUUUAUGAACUAGGCAGCUUCUUAACUAAACAAAACUCCAACGUGUGUAUAAUAAGAGGAACAGAAGACACUCAAUUUGAAACACAUAGUCAACGUAGUAUAUAGUAAUUAAACUAUAGCUAAGGACUAGCAAAUUUCAUUCACUCGAACUAGGCAGAAUACAAAUAGAGAGGAGGUAACGCUUUGAUAUUCGGGUCAUUCCUAUAACCAACAACGAUUUGAUGAUGCCUCAAACUGUAUCAGCUCCAUAAUGUACAAGUAAAGGAAAGCGGAGGAGUGAGGUAAACCUUACAUAUUUUGACUUCAAACAACCACGUAGCGGGAGUAAUUAAAAAUCAAUAUGCGGUAAUGUGGACGAAUUCUUAAAGAGGAACAAUAGUAACAUCGCAACAGGAUAUGAUAUCAAUCACUACAUCGAUUCAAGAGCCCAUAACGAGUGCUAAGUUCAAACAAUAAAAGUAUUUCUGCUAGUUUUAAGUUAGGCUAGCAUAUUAGUAGCUUUUAUCAUUUACUAAUUUCCGAAUGGCGAUGAAUCUAGCAUGUAUAUGUGGACGUUCAUUUGUAAAAACUAUUAUUUAAAAUAACAUAAGAAAAUAGAGAGAAGAGAGUUGUUUACGAAAGAGGCUCAAGUGAUGCAUAAAAAAUCACUUUUGAAUUUGGAAAUAUGGUCAUGACAUCUCACUAAUCACCAAAGCAUUCGGGCAUUAACUUCUAAUAAACUUCUAGAAUUAGGGAUUUUGAAAACACCACGAGCUAUUUUCAUAUUUUUUUCCAACUCCAAAUCAGUCGCAAAACUCGAGAGAGCGAUUUCGAAAUUAUUUUACUAGCCUCACGGAAAAACACAACUCGAAUUUUCAAACGUCGUUUUUUAUUUUGAAAGCAAAAUUAUUAUUCUCACAAUUCUAAACCAAUCACCUUGUAAAGUUAAUGUCUCCCACUUCAGUUCAGAGCAAGCCUAAAAACUAAAUUUAAUCAUGCUCCAAACUAAGUUUUACUGGAAACAAACAGCGGUACCGAUACGGGCUCGAAGUCCCGACGAGUCCGUUUUCAACCACAACCACAUUAACUCAGUCAUAAUUCAUACACCCAGAUAAUUCUGAAUCAGCAAACGACAACAAUGAAAAUUACCAACUAUAUACUCAAAGAAAAAAAGGAUGAAAGAAAGACGGAGGCUAGACGAAGAGACAAAUCUUACUUUUUUGGGGGCAGCAAACUUGGGCUUUUUAUCGAGUAUUCCGGCCACCAAACCUUGAAUUUCAGAACUCAAUCAAACACCAAAAUUAAGAGAAGAAACCAACAACCCCUUUUGUGACUAUUCUAGGAAACUUUUGUGAAUGUAGUUUGAUUUUCCUUUAAUCUCCAACUUGUCCUUGAUGAUGGCAAUUUUGGGGCUAUUUAUAGUCAAAAUCCGGACUCCAAAGUCCUAAUUUGAAGCACAUUUUAUGGAGAUGAGAUUUGAAUUCAAAAUUAUGACAUCCAUCUGUGAAAAUUUCAGCUUCUAUCAAGCCUUAACUACGAAUCCUCAAAAAGUUUAAUUUUUGCACAAAGUAGGGACUGAUUUUCUCUGAUUUUUGGCGAUUUGCUUACUUGGGGUGAUAAAAAUGGAAGAUUCGUGUGGGCAGGUGGAAGACAGUGGUGAUGCAGUCUAAACCUAGGUCUCUGAUUUGAGUAUGGUGGAUAGAAGGGNNNNNNNNNNNNNNNNNNNNNNNNNGAAAGAGGAGAAGGGGAUGAAGGAGGCCAUUGUUGUUGUUGUUUUGGGAAAGGGAUGAUGGAGACCCAUCAAUGUUGUUUUGGGAAGAGAGCUAAGCGUGCUUCUGCCAAAGAAGACACGUGAACUCUUGUAAUUAAUGCAUUGAUCUUGCAAAUAUUGACUCAUUUUGAUCCGUCCGAUUCAAAAAUCGAACGGUCUUAAAAGUAGCACCUUAAAAAAUAAUAAUACAAAAUAUAUAUAAAUAAAUACACGAAAAACUUAAAUAUAUAAAUAUCUUAAUAAUCCAAACAGAUGGAAGUGAUUUAGGAUGGGGAGCCAUUUUAAAAGCACGACCUAAUAAAUAUAGUAAUAAAAAUGAAGAACAAAUUUGUGGCUAUCAAAGUGGCGCGUACAAAGAAAAAGGUAAUAUGAGCGCCAUAGACUAUAUCAAUUUUGUAAAACCUACUCAGUACUCCAUAUAUAUAUAUAUAUAUAUAUAAAACAUUUAAAAAUUCGGUACCCCUCAGGUUCAAAAUAAAUCGACAGCGCAGGUCAAAUUGUAUUCAUUAAGGUGGAAUGACGAAGCAGGCAUAAAAAUUAUACUGACUAGGGAUGAUAUCCGGGCUCUUGGCUGAAAUUUAUAAAAUAAGAGUUGGGUUUGGGUGAAAAAAAUAAAAUAAAAUAAAAAAGGAAGUUGGAUUAUUGUUAGCCUGAAUACUCUUUUUCUAUUGAAAUUAAAUUUAUCGAUGCUUCCUGAUAUUCUAAAAAUUUAUUUAUUUUUAGUUUACAGACAUAAUUUGUACAAACAUCUAACUUAAUAUUUUGCGACUUUCCUAUUAACAAAAUACGUAUAUACACGUAAUAAAAAUAUAUGUACAUCUUAUAAAAGUAUAUUUUGCGUAAUAAAAAUAUACAUAUAAGGUCACAAUACUGCCCCAAAAAAUAAAGUUAGAAACAAUGUGGAUGCGACUAUCAAAAGAUACAUAUUUGCGAUUUUGAUGUCAAAAAAUAUUUAAUUAUAUUCAAUUAAAAUAAUUUUAUAAAUGAAAAUAAAUUCCCUUUUUAUUAAAACUUGUAGAAAUAGAAACAGAAAUACCAAAUCUUAUUUUUAUUUAAUUUGUGAAAAUUAUUUAGGGCCAAGAAGCAUCGAAAAACUAAUUAAAGGAAAAAGAACGAGUCAAAAUUGGGUGUCAACACCAGGCAUCCACAACCUGCCUGGGAGCCCUCAAUUAAUUUUUGGCCUAAAACACACCUGAUCCCUAGACACAUCCACUAAACCGUGAGCUAUAGCACACCAAUUUGGCUCGAAAAAGGCACGUUCACACCAUUACGCCUGUUUGACCACCCAAACGGCCCCGCCAACCGUAACGGCCCACCCCUGGCCGAUCCACAAUAUGCGUGGGAGCCCUCGAUAGAUUUUUGGCCUAAAACAUAUAUGAGCCCCCGGCACACCCAAAAAAUCAUGUGAUAUAGUACACCGAUUUGGCCUAGAAAUAGGCUAUUCACGUCGUUCUCCCCAUUUGACUACCCAAAUAGCCCCGCAAACCCCAAUGACCCACCCCAGGCCGAUCCACAACUUGCCUAGGAGCCCUUGGUAGAUUUUUUGCCCAAAACACGAUUGAUCCCUGGGCACACCUAGAAAAUCGUGAGCUACACCAAUUUCGCCUAAAAAUAACCCGUUCGAGUUGUUUCGCCUGUUUGACCACCCAAACAGCCUCGCUGAAACCAGUGACCCACCCUUGGAUGAUCCACAACCAGAUUGGGAACACUUGGUAGAUUUUUGGCCCAAAACACGAUUGGGCCCUCGGUACACCAAGAAAACCGUGAGCUAUAGCGCAACGAUUUGGCCCCAAAAUAGCCCAUUCGAGCCAUUUCACCUGUUUGACCACCCAAACAGCCUUGCUGACCCCAACGGCCCACCCCUAGUUGAUCCACUACCUUCUAGUUAUACCUCGAUCAAUUUUCAGUCAAAAAUAUGCUUAGGCCUCGAGCACACCUUGAAAAGCGUGAGCGAACACCGAUUUGAUCAAAAAUGGCCCGUUUGCACUAUUUCAGUUGUUUAACCACCCAAAUAGCCCCGCUAACCCUAACGGCCCACCCCUGGAUGAGGCAGUCCACUGCCUGCUUCAAAGCCCAAUUCAAUUUUUGGCCCAAAACACGCCAGGCCCCAGGCACACUCUGAAAAAGUGUGAGUUAUAGCAUACCAAUUUAGCCGAAAAAUGACCCAUUUGCACUAUUUUUGCCCAUUUUACCAUCCAAAUGCCCUCAAUAACCCUAAUAGCCCACCCUUAGCUGAUCCACACUUGCCUUGGAGUCCCCAGUUAAUUUUUGGCCCAAAACACUUCCGAGCCACGGGUGUUUUACAAAAAUUUUAACUUUCGAGAGAGUCAUAACUUAAUUUUGAAAAGGAAUUAAGAAACCUUCGUACGAUACUUUAAACAAUCCAAAAUAGAAAAAUCGUCUAAGUUUUGAAGUUUUAGGUAAGCGAUUCCUAUUAAUAUUUUAGGAAUGUUUUUAAGGCACAAAAAAUGUCCUCUAAUUUACGGUUAUCUGGAUUGUUUGAAAACUAUCUUUGACUAACUUUGAAAAAAUUGACUUGUUGAAAAGUGAUCGAUUUUUAGCAAAGACUUGUGUAAAAUAGAUUUAGGUGACUUAGUAAGGAUUUAACUAAGUUUAAUCAAAACUAAUAAGCAAGUAAACACAUAAAAGGGGGAAGGGAGGAGAAAGUAAAAAGAUUUAGGCCAUUGGGCCUAAUAGACCUGUCCUAGUCUAAUUGGGCUUUCGACCCCUUUCACCUGUCCUAAUCUAGUUUUCGAGCCUUUGGCUCGAGUCUUUCUCCACCUGUAUUAAAUUUACAACUUUGGCUUCGAGGUCCCAAAUAAAUGAAUGAAUGAAUAAAUAAGUAAAUAAAAUAGAUAAAGGAAACAAUAAUAAAAUAAAAUAAAAUAACAAAUGAGAUUUUUGAGUCUCUUAACCGGUUCAAAUGUGGGACUUCAACCCAUUUUUUCCUCUUUCAACUCGUUGUAUCCAUGUGCGAUUUAACCGGCUUUGGGCUUGACUCAAAAAAUGGGCCUAAUUGGCCAUGAUAGAUAUGUAAAAAAGGCCGAGUCCAUGUAGGACUCAAAUGAUUUCCAUGCAAAGGAAAAAAAUGCAUUAAAGGUAUGGGAAAGGAAGAGUAAAGGAAACCAAAGCAUGCUCAACCAAAGUAGAAAGCUAGAAUGUCUAAUAAGUGAUCAACCGGAGGAGGCUAGUAGAUGCGAAGAAAAUUUAUACAUAUUAACUACAUAAGCAAAACAACAGGGAUCCAAACAAAUAGUCGCGGGACACCCAGAAGUAGUAAGGCACACACGUCAACUCGAACAACAGGCAUAAUCAAGAUAUGAGAAUUAAACUAACCAUUAGGCGAUCGACCGAGCCUUAUAAGUUCUAACUAAUCAUCAAACUGUUUAAAUUCUGAAACUAUGUCUAAAGCAGAAGACCCCACUAAUUCACAAAAGAAGAAAUGAUUCAUGAAAUCUCAUCUUUCUUCUUUUUGCUGUUAAAUCAACAAAGGCUAGUCAGCAUUCCACUAAUUGAUCGAUGUGGGCAUCUCCUGAAUAUUUUAGACAAAAUAUGAUUGUCCAUAAAUGCUAAAGGGAAGACUCAGGAUGCAUGUUGGUUCUUACGACAAAAAGCAACACCAAAAAUGUUGAAGUUGGAACUGUAGGACACAAAAAGGUGGAGAGAAAGAAGAUGCUAUGAUUACUAAUCAAAUAAAUUAAUGAAGUUUCAUCCUUUUUAUAAAGAUGACCAAGUAAAGUAUUAUUACAGCAUAUUACAACAAUCUAUCCCCUAGAAGCACACAGUAAUAUAAGACAUAAAUUCAGGAAAACUAAGGAGGCAAGCAACAAGAAAUAAGAAAAAAAAGAGAUAGAGAGAGUUAGAAAAAGCAUAUAAAGGAAAACCGAUACGUAAUUGACUAAAUAGAACGCCAUAACAUGGAUCUUCAAAAAAUAAAUGUUGAUUAACCAACAAGGAGAUAUACUCGUAAGGGCGAAACAUUAACACGAAAAUUGGCCGAUACCGAAGCAACAAAGGAAACUAGAAAAUGAAUCCAUUUCUAGACCAAUUUUUUUUAAAAAAAAUAUUGACAGGCCUAAAGGGGCAUUAUUAGAAACUUAAAAGGCAACCUUUUUGAGAAAGAGUCCUCUGUAUCAAAGUUGCAUUCAAGAAAAAACCAGUAGGAACUACUAAUGCGCAGCUAAAACUUCAAGCAUCAAAUAGUAAAUACUGAUGAACAACCAAAGCUUCUUUCUUGGACUCCAAAUACUAUAGAUACCGACUCAAAUAGUUAUGAUAGUAAGGGUCUUAGUGCCUAAGGCAACUACUGUAUGAUAAUCAAACCCGACAAAACAAGGGCCGAAAUGCAUUUAACAAUCCCAAACAAUCUAAAGUAGGACUUUGGCAGCAGUCUUUCGAAAGAUAGAGACAGACCAUAGUGAUGUUCUACUCCGUCCUUCAGCCUUGCUUUCGAGAGCAAAAUGAAUAUGACUUCAUCCCUCUUUUCUUGAUGACAUUGACCAAGAAAAAGAAAUCAGGGGGAAUCCUCACUCCAAACAUAAACUACGCGUAUAGCAUAAUGGGAAUAAAAGUAGAGAAAUUCUCCUCAAACUGACCCAUUCAAGUAUCCGUCAAUUCAAUAGAACACUAGCAAAUUUACUUUAUAAUCAUAACACACAAAUCGAAAGCAAACAGAAAUCUAAAUUUCAGAUUUUUGAUAUCAAAAAGUGCGACCAACAAACAAAAAAUGGCAAGGUAGACAACCUCAGAUGUAACAACGAAUCAAAACGACUAUCAGCGCGAGACUAUCAAACGCAUUAGAGAAUGAAACUUUAGCUAUGAAACCAGCUCUGAAAAACCAUCGUUAGCCCGAAACUACUAAAUAAAUUCAAAGCAUGAAACGUUAUUAUGAUAUUAGCUAUAACAAAACAUCGUUAGCCCGAAACUACCAAACAAAUUCAAAGCAUGAAACUUUAUUAUGAAACUAACUGUAACAAGACGUCGUUAGCCCAAAACUACAAAACGAAUUAAAAACAUGAAACUUUAUUAUGAAACUCGCUAUAACAAGACAUUUUAGCCCCAAACUAUUAAACAAAGUUAAAGCAUGAAAUUUUACUGUGAAACCAGCUUAUUCAAAUCUCAACCAGUAUACAAAAUGAGAGUAUUCGAUCAAAAAUCCAUUAACAAACGUUGUUCAGACCACAUAACAUGCCAUAAAUCAAAAGAAAGAACAUAGAUUAAAAUAGUGGAUUUAAAAGUAUUUUGGUGAAGAACAUGUCUUUAACAGUACUAAGAAGUAACAUCGUACACAUUGAUUCAAAUAUCGACAUGACGAUAACUAUCACGAACGAAACCUACGGCUAUCAAAGCCAUCUACAAGCAAACAACCCAACAUACAAUAUUACUAAGGACUUACUCACAACUACAGAAGGUCGAGAUGAAGCAGAAGCAAUCGAAAGCUCAAUGGAAUGGGAUAUUACCUGUUCGGGAGCAGCAAAAUGGAACCUCGAUCUCCUUUGGACUUCACUACCACAGGAAAAUUCAAUGCCGCUAUGAAAGUCUCGACUAGUCGAUUGCCUUCCCUAAAAAUUUUACUGAUGGAAAUUCUCGCCUAUUCUUGCGACCAAUUUUUUUCCCUUUUGUUUGGGUGUGUAUUUCUGUUUUGUAAAAAAAAUUUCCCAACCCUGAAAUUAGUACCAAGUGGGUUCUUAUGUAGAAGACAGAAUUGGGGGUAUUUUAGGGAUUUAAAAAUAGGAUAUUUUGAAUUUGAUUUUCGAAAAUCCCUCCACAGCUUGGGUUUCAUCAAUAAUUUGUACCAGUUUUUGGAUUUCAUGAGAGAAAUUGAAAUGGGCGGGCCAAUACCAUUUGGGAAAAAUGAAUUGUACUCCAGGACCAAUGAAUAUCAUCCAACUACGUACGAAAUCGUACCAAUUAUCCUGAGAUUCGCAAAAUUAUCCGUUGGAGACGACACCUAGACUUGUUCUAGAAGAUUUUAGGACCUUCUUUGUCCUACUAUCGCAUGAGACGCGCGUGGUGAAGGGUAGGGUCAGAUUGUAGAUGGUUUUCUCGAUUUUGGGUUGAGUUUGGCCUUAUUGUGGUUGUUUCUGGGUUGAUACAAUUUUAGUUUUGGUUAUGGUGUUAUCGUGAUUUUGCUGUUGUUCUCGUGUGUUGCUGUUCGGCUGUGUUGAAGAAGGAGGAAAAAAGGAGUGGGCCUAUCAGUUGUAGAAUUGUUGGGCUGGAUUUAAUUUUAAAAAAGGGGAAAGAACUGCUGAUUAUUUUAAGGUUAUAUUGGGUCAUUUUUUGUGGCCCAAUUUAAAAUGGACAAUUUAGAUUACAAUUUUAGUCAAUCUAUUUAAACAUUAACCAAUUAAAUGUCAAUUGACCAAUUGCAUUGUAGUCAUGGUCAAUUUAAUUUUAAACAUAGUCAAAUAAAAUAAAUUGACUAAAUUGAAUUGAAUUUCGAUACGAAUUAACACUCUGUUUGAUCCCAGGGUUCUUGAUUUGAUAAAAUCAAACAUAUAUUUAUCCAAAUAAAUUAUUCUUGAGAGUAAAUUAAAUUUAAAUUAAGAUUAAAUUUAUUUUUGAGAUAAUCCUUGAUUAAAAUCUUGUAUUUCGUAAAAAUAAAUAUUUAAACAAUAAAUUAUAUAAUUUUGUUUAAUUGAAUACGAUAAUAUAUAAUCGCUACUCAAAGUGAUAAAAUUCCCCCAAAAAAUAUAAAUGUCGUAAUUUUAUUUGAAAAUCAAAGAAAAUCGAAAUUAAACUUGGUUGUGGAGGGCAAAAAUUAGGUGUCAACACCGGGAACACCCAGAAAAACGUGAUUUAUAGCACAACAAUUUGGCCCAAAAAUGGAUCGUUUGCGCCGUUUUGCCCGUUUGACCACCCAAACAGUCGAGCCGACCUCAACGGCCCAUCUCUGGCCUAUAUACAACCUGUUUGAGAGUCCUCGAUUGAUUUUUGGACCAAAACACACCUGGCCCCAGGCAUACCUAGAAAAUUGUGAGCUAUAUCACACCGAUUUGGCCUAAAAAUGACAUGUUUAUGCCAUUUCUCCAAUUUGACCACCAAAUAUUCCCGCCGACCCUAACGGCCUACCCCUGGCCGAUCCACAACCUUCUCGAGAGCCCCCGAUCUAUUUUUUGACCCAAACACGUACGGGCCUCGAGAACACCUUGAAAACUGUGAGCUAUAACACACUGAUUUAUCCCAAAAAUAGCUCGUUCGCAUUGUUUUGCCUGUUUGACUACCCAAAUGGCCCUACCGACCCCAACGACCCACCCCUUUCUAAUCCACAGUCUUUUUGGGAGCCCUCAAUUAUUUUUGUCCCUAAACACUCUCAAUCCUUGAGCACACCUAGAAUACCGUGAGGUAUAACAUACUAAUUUGGCUCGAAAAUGGUCUGUUCAUGCCGUUACGCCUGUUUGACCACCCAAACAGCUCCGUCGACCCCAACGGCCCACCCCUGGCUGAUCCACAGCUUCCAUGAGAGCCCUUGAUCAAUUUUUAUCCCCAAACACGCCCAAGCCCUGGGAACACCCAGAAAAUCGUGAGCUGUAGCACACCAAUUUUGCCCAAAAAUGGCCCGUUUGCACCGUUUUGCCUAUUUGAUCACCCUAAUGGCCCGGUCAUCUCCAAUGACCUAUCCCUGUUCGAUCUACAGCCUACUUGGGAGCCCAUGGUUAAUAUUCAUACCAAAACACGUCUUGGCCUCGGAUACACCCAGAAAAAUGCGAGGUAUAGCAUACUGAUUUAGCUCGAAAUGGCUUGUUUACGCCGUUUCACUCGUUUGACGACUUAAACGACCCUGCCGACCCAAAUGGUCUACCCCUUGCUGAUCCAUAGUAUGCCUGGGUGCCCUUAAUUAAUAUUUAGCCUAAAACACAUCCGAGCCCCAGAUACACCCAAAAAACCAUUGGCUAUAGCACACCAAUUUAGCCCGAAAAUAGGCUGUUCACGUUAUUUUUCUGUUUGACCACCCAAAUGGCCCCGCUGACCUUAACAACCCCCCUGGGUGAUCCACAGCCUACCUAUGAUCCCUUAUUCAAUUUUUGACCCAAAAUACGAUCGGUCCCCAAGCACAUCUAGAAAACAGUAAGCUAUGACACACCGAUUUGACUUAAAAUGGCCCGAUCGCACCAUUUCUCCUGUUUGACGACUUAAAUGGCCCGAUCGACCCUAAAAACCUACUCCUAAUCGAUCCUCAUCCUUCUUGGGAGUCUCCACUUGAUUUUUGGCCAACAACACACUCGAUUCCCAGGCACACCCAAAAAAUAUGAGCAUAGCAUAUCAAUUUAGCCUAAAAAUGGGUCGUUCAUGACUUUUUGCCAAUUUGACCACCCAAACGGCCCUGCCAACCCCAACAGCCCACCCCUGGUCGAUCCACAUCCUACUUGGGAGUCCCUGGUCAAUUUUCAUCCCAAAACACGAUCGGGCCCUGGGCAAACCUAGAAAACAGCCUAAAAAUAGUCCGUUUGUGUAGUUUCGCCCGUUUGACCACCCAAACGGACCCAUCGACCCCUACAACCCACCCCUGAAUAAUCCACAUCCUUUCUGAGAGCGCUUGAUCGAUUUUUGGCCUAAAACACGCCAGGUCCCUAGGCACACCCUGAAAAUCGUGAGCUAUACUACACCGAUUUGGCCCAAAAAUGGCCCAUUCACUCUGUUUCUCCCAUUUAACCACCCAAACGGACCAAUCGACCCUAACAGCCUACCCUUGGAUCAUCCACAACCUGCUUGAGAAUCGUCAAUCGAUUUUUAUCCCAAAACAUGCUCGAUCCCCUAGCACACCAAGAAAACCAUAAGCUAUAGCACACCAAUUUGAUCUGAAAAUUGCUCGUUCGCGCCGUUUCUCCUGUUUAAACAUCAAAACGGGCCUGCCUACCCCAACGACCCACUCCUGGCCAAUCUAAAUCCUAUGUGGGAGCCCUAGAUAAUUUUUGGCCUAAAAUACGUUUUGAGCCCGAGUAAACCCAGAAAAUCGUGAGCUAUAGCACAUUAAUUAGGCCUAAAAAUGGCCUAUUCACAUCAUUUUACCUCUUGGACCACCCAACGGCCCAAUCGAUUCCGACGGCCCACCUGUGGCCAAUCCAUAUCUUUCCUGGGAUACCUUGGUUAAUGUUUGACCAAAAAUACGUUCGAUCCUCGAGUAGACCCAGAAAUGUAUGAUCUAUAGCAUACCGAUUUGGCCUGAGAAUAGCUCGUUGGUGCCAUUUGGAACAUUUUCCACCCAAAUAUCCCCAUUGAUACUAACGGCCCACUCCUGGCCAAUCCAUAGUCUACCUGGGAGACCCCAGUCUAUUUUUGGACCAAAAUACACCUGGACCCUGAGCAUACCCAGAAAAUUAUGAGCUAUAGCACACCGAUUUGGCUAAAAAAUAGCCCGUAUGCAGUGUUUUGCAUGUUUGACUACCCAAACAAUCUAGCCUACCACAAUGACUUACCCCUAGACGAUCCGCAGCUUGCUUGGGAGCCCCCGAUCGAUUUUUAACCUAACACACUCGGGCCCCGAGAAAACCCAAAAAAUAAUGAGGGAUUGCACAUUGAUUUGACCCAAAAAUGGCUCGUUCGCACUAUUUUUCCCAUUUAACUAUCCAAACUGCUCCGUUGACCUCAAUGGCCCACUCCUGUCUAAUCCACAGCUUCCACGGGAGCCUUCGAUCAAUUUUUUUCCCAAAACACGCCCGGACCUCGGGCAUUCCCAAAAAAUCAUGAGCUAUAGCACAAUAAUUUUGCCCAAAAAUGGCCCGUUCGCACCGUUUCACCUGCUUUACCACACAAAAGGCCCCGUCGACCCCAAUGGCCUAUCCCUAGCUAAUCCACAGCCUUUUUGGGAGACCUUAGUUGAUUUUUGACCCAAAAUAUGCCUAGGUCCCCAUCAUACUCAAAAAACCAUGAGCUAUUGCACACCAAUUUGGCUAAAAAAUGGCCCAUACGUGCCUUAUGCCUAUUUGACAACCAAAAUGGUCUUUCCGACCCCAACCACAUACCCCUAACUGAUUCACAGCAUACCCGAGAGCCCUCGAUAUAGUUUGGGCCUAAAACAUGCAUGAGCCCUAGGCAAACCCAAAAAACCAUAAGCUAUAGCAUACCGAUUUGGUCCGGAACCAACGUGUUCAUGUGGUUUUGACCUUUGACCACCCAAAUGGCCCACCACUGGCUGAUUUACAGCCUGCCUGGGAGCCCUUGGUCAAUUUUUAGCCCAAAACACGAUCGAGCCCUGGGCCCACCUGGAAAACCGUGAGCUAUUACAUAUUGAUUUAACUUAAAAAUAGCCCAUUCAAGCUGUUUUGCCUGUUUGACCACCCAAAUAGCCCCACUUACCCCAACAACUCACCCUUGAUCGAUCCACAGCCUAUCAGGUAUACCUCAGUUGAUUUCAGCCUAAAAUAAGCUCGAGCCUCAGGCACACUUUGAAAAGUGUGAGCGCACAUGAUUUGACCCAAAAAUAACUCGUUUGCUCUGUUUCAUUAGUUUGACCACCCAAACGGCCUCGUUGACUCCAACAGCCUUCCUGGCUAAUCCAUAGCCUGCCUCGGAGCCCUAUUUAAUUUUCAGCCCAAAACACGCUGGGCCCCAGGCACACCCCGAAUAAGAGUGAGUUGUAAUACACCAAUUUUGCCAGAAAAUAGCCCAUUUGCACUAUUUUGCUUGCUUGUGCCCCCAAAUGGCCCCGCUGACCCCAACGACCCCCCUAGUUAAUUUAGAGCAUGCCUAGGAGCCUCAGUUAAUUUUUGGCCUAAAAGAUGCUAGAGCCCUAAGCACACCUAGAAAACCAUGAGCUAUAGCACACUGAUUUGGCCUGAAAAUGGCCCAUUUUACCACCGAAAUGGGCUCGCCAACCCAAACGGCCCACCCUUGUUCGAUCCACAGCCUGCCUCGGUGUCCCCGAUUUAUUUUUAACUUAAAAAACACUUGGGCCUCGGGAACACCCAGAAAAUCGUGAGCUAUAGCACAUCGAUUUGGCCCAAAUAUUUCCCGUUCACUUCAUUUUGCUCGUUUCACUACCCAAACUUUCCCACCAACCCCAAUGGCCCAUCCUUGUCCAAUCCAUAGCCUGCCUGGGAUCCCGCGAUCUAUUUUUGGCCAACAACAUACCCUAAACCCUUGCACAUCGAGAAAACCAUGAGCUAUAGCACACCAAUUUGGCUAAAAUAUGACCCAUUCGUAUCGUUUCACCCAUUUGACCACCAAAACAACCCCACCCAUCUCAAUGACCCAUCACUUGCUGAUGCAUAGCUUUCCUGGGAUCCCUCAAUUGAUUUUUGUCCCAAAACACUUUUGGGCCCCAGGCACACCUAGAAAACCAUGAGCUAUAGCACAUCAAUUUGGCCCAAAAAUCGCCUGUUCGCACUGUUAUGCCCAUUUGACCAUCUAAACAGCUUUGCCGACCCCAACAGCUCACCUUUUUCAGAUCCACAGCCUCUAUAUAAGCCCACGAUAAAUUAUCAGCCCAAAUACGCUUGGGACCCGGGAACACCUAGAAAAUCAUGAGCUAUAGUACACUAAUUUUGCUUGAAAAUGGUCCAUUCACCCCGUUUCGCAAGUUUGACUAUACAAAUAGCCCCACAACCCCCAAUAACGACCAUACAAAUAGCCCCACAAACCCUAACGGCCCACUCCUGGCUGAUCCACAACAUUCCUGGAGCCCUUGGGGUCUUUUGGGGUCGAUGGGGCACCCAAGCACCGAGCACACCCUAAAAAAGCGUGAGAUAUAGCACACCGAUUUGGCCCAAAAUGACCCGUUUGCACUUUUUUGGUUGUUUGACCACCUAAAUGGCCCUGCUGACCCCAACGGACCAAAAUAUUCUAGGCCCCAGACACACCUUGAAAAAGAGUGAGCUAUAGCACACCGAUUUGGCUCGAAAUGGCCCGUUUGCAUCAUUUUUACCUGUUUGGCCAUCCAAACGGCCCCACUGACCCCAACAACCCACCCCUGGCCAAUCACACCCAGAAAACUGUGAGUUAUAGCACAUUGAUUUAGCCCAAAAAUGGCUCGUUUGCUUUGUUUCGCCCGUUCCACCAUCAAAAUAGCCUCGCUGACCCCAACGGCCCACCCUUAGCCAAUCCAUAGCCUGCCUAGGACUCCUUAAUUGAUUUUUUGCCCAAAAUAUGCUCGAGCCCGAGCACACCCAGAAAAUCGUGAGCUAUAGCACAUCUAUUUAGCCUGAAAAUUGGCCAUUCAUGCCAUUUUGCCCGUUUACUACCCAAACGUUCUUGUCGACCCCAAUCGCCCACCCCUAGCCAUGUCAUAGCCUACCAGGGAGCCCUAGAUCUAUUUUUGGCCAAAAACAUGAGCUGGUCCUGGCAUUCCCAGAAAAUCGUGAGCUAUAGCACACCGGUUUGGCUAAAAAAUGGCCCGUUCACAGUAUUUUACCCGUUUGUCCACCAGAAUAGCCCCACCAACUUUAAUUGACCACCCCUUGCUGAUACACAACCUUCUUCGGAGUCCUUAGUUGAUUUUUGUCCCAAAACACUCCAUGGCCCUGGGCAUACCCCGAAAACAGUGAGGUAUUCCACACUGAUUUGGCCCAAAAAUGGCCUUUUUUGCGAUGUUAUGCCCAUUUAACCACCCAAACGGCUCCGCUGACCCCAACAACCCACCCCUGGUUGAUCCAUAGCCUCCACGGGAGCCCUUGGUUAGUUUUUGGGCCAAACAUGCCGGGCCCCGAGCACACUAGAAAAUGAGCUAUAGCACACCAAUUUAGCCCAAAAAUGGCCAAUUCACAAUAUACAAUGUUUCACCUAUUUGACCACCCAAAUGGCCUCGCCGACCCCAACGAACUACCCCUGAAAGAUCCAAAGCCUGCCUAGGAGCUUCUAGUCAAUUAUUGACCCAAAACAUGACCAGGCCUCGGGCACACCCCAAAAAAUGUGAGCUAUAGCACACUGAUUUGGCCAAUAAAUAGGCCAUUUGCACUGUUUCACUCAUUUAACCACCCAAACGGCCCCACCGACCCCAAUAACCCAUCCCUGGUCAAUCCAUAGUAUGCCUGGGUGCCCUCGAUUAAUUUUUGGCUUAAAAAAUGCACGAGCCACGGGAACACCCAGAAAACCAUGGGUUAUAGCACACCGAUUUAGCUUCAAAACAUCCUGUUCACAUCGUUUUGCCUGUUUAGCCACCCAAACAGCCCCGCCAACCCCAAUAACCUGCUUCUAGCCGAUCACAAACUACCAAGAGGAUUUGGUCAAUUUUUUGCCCCAAACAUGAUCGGUCCCCAAGCAUACCAAGAAUACCCUGAUCUAUAGGACAUCAAUUUUCCCUAAAAUAGCCCGAUCAUGCCGUUUUUCCUAUUUGACCACUCAAAUAUCCCGACCGACCCUAACGACCCUAUCUUAUCUAAUCUUAAGCUUUCCAGGAUCCUCUAAUUAUUUUUCAAUCCAAAACACGAUCGGGCCCUAGGCACACCCAGCAAAUCGUGAGCUACCAUAAGUAAUUUGGCCGAAAAAUAGCCCAUUUGUGCCUUUUCAACGAUUUGACCAUCCAAAUAGCCCCGCCGACCCCGACAACCCAUCCCUGGUUAAUCCACAGCCUACCUGGUCCUACAUGGUCAAUUUUUGACCCAAAACACGAUUAGGCGCAGGCACACUUAGAAAAUAGUGAACAACAACACACCAAUUUUGCUCGAAAAUAGCUCGUUCAUGUUAUUUUGCCUGUUUGACCACCCAGAUAGCCCCGCUGACCCCAACGGCCAACCCCUAGCCGAUCAUAACCUACUUGGGAACCCUUGGUUAAUUUUUCUCCCAAAACACAUUCGGGCCCUGGACACACCAAGAAAACCGUGAGCCAUAGCACAAAGAUUUGGCUAAAAAAUUGGUCAUACACGUUGUUUUGAUCGUAUGUGACAUUUCGGUCGUUUGAACACACAAACAGCCCUACCGACCCAAACGACCUACCUAUGGAUGAACCGCAGCCUUCUUGGGAGUCUCCGAUGAUUUUUGGCCUAAAACACACCUGGGCCCCGGGCAAACCUAAAAAAUCGUGAGCUAUAGCACACCGAUUUGACCUGUAUUUCGCUCGUCUAACCACCAAAAUGUCUCUAUUGACCCCAACGACCAACCCUUGGCUGAUCUACAGCCUCCAUGGGAGCCCACAGUUAAUGAUUGGUUCAAAAAACUCUCGAGUCCAAGGCAUACCCAAAAAACCAAAGCUACAGCACACUGAUUUGGUGCAAAAAAGGCUCGUUCGCGUUGUUUCACCCAUUUUACCAUACAAAUAGCCCCGCCGACCCCAAAAUCCUACCCUUAGCUGACCCACAGCCUGCCUGGGAGCUCCCAAUCAAUUUUUGGCCCAAAACACAUCCGGGCCAUAGGCACAUUCGUGUCGUUAUGCUCGUUUGACCAUUCAAAAGGCCCCGUCGAUUCAUAGUAUGCCUAGGAGACUCGGUAGAUUUUUGAUCGAAAACACGCACGAGCCCUGGGCACACUAAAAAACCAUGGGCUAUAACACAAUGAUUUGGUCCAAAAUAAUCUAUUCACGUCGUUUAGCUUGUUUGAACACCUAAAUGGCUCCUCCGACCCCCAUAACCAACUCCUGGCCAAUCCAGAGCCUUCUUAGAAGUCGUUGGUUAAUUUUUUGCCCAAAAUACGAUUGGGCCCUGGGCACACCUAGAAAAUCGUGAGCUAUAGCAUAUCGAUUUGGCCCAAAAAUAGCCUGUUCAAACCGUUUCCCCCGUUUGACUAUAUAAACAGCCUCCCUGACCCCAACAACCCACCUCUAGUCGAUCCACUGCCUAACAGGGAGUCCCCUGUCAACUUUCAGCCUAAAAAAUACCCGGGAACUGGGUACACCCAGAAAAAAAUUAGCUAUAGCACACUGAUAUGGCCCAUGAACGGUCCAUUCACACCGUUUUUCCCGUUUGACCACCCAAUUGGCCCUGUCGACACCACCGACCUACCACUAGAUAAUCCACAACAUGAAUGGGAUCCCCCGAUCAAUUUUUGGCCUGAAACAUGCCUGAGCCCCAUGUACACCUAGAAAAUUGUGAGCUAUAACUUAUCGAUUUGGCCUAAAAAUGGCCUGUUCGCGCCGUUUCAUCCAUUUUACCACCCAAAUAGUCUCGCCGGCCCUAAAGACCCACCCCUGAAUAAUGUAAAACAUGCUUGGGAUCCCCUGGUUGAUUUUUAUCCCAAAAUAUGCUCAAGCCCCAGGCACACCCUGAAAGUCGUGAGCUAUAGGACACUGAUUUGGCCUAAAAAUGGACCAUUCUUGCCGUUUUACCCAUUUGACCACUCAAACUUCCCUGCUAACCCCAACGUCCCUCCCUUAGCAUAUCCACAACCUUGAUGGGAUUCCUCGAUCAAUUUUUAGCCUAAAACACGAUCGGGCCUCGGGUACACCUAGAAACUGUGAGCUAUAGCACACCGAUUUGAUUCAAAUAGCCCCACCCACCCCUACGGCCCAUACUAGGCCAAUUCCCAUUCUAACUGACAUGAUUUGAUUGAUUUUUGACCCACAGCACUCUGGUACCCUGAGCCCAUCCCCGAAAUCGUGGGCUAUAGCAAACCGAUUUUGCCCGAAAAUGCCUUGUUCAUACUGUUUCACCCGUUUGACUAACCAAAUGGCUCCGCUAACCCAAACGACCAAUAUUAGGCUGCUCCCCAGUCUCUUCGGCCAUCCAAAGGCAUUCCUUAAUAAAUUUUUGGCACAUAGCACGUCUGAAAUCGAGGCCCACCCUCAGAACCGUAGGCUAUAGAACACCAAUUUGUCUCAAAAAUACCCCAUCCACAUCGUUUUUCUCGUUUGACCACCCAAAUGACCCCGCCCACCACAAAGACCACACUAGGUUAAUACCUAGACUCCCUAGCAUGCCUCAAUCAAUUCUUUCCCAAGGCACACAUGGACCUCGGGCCAUCCCCAGAACCGUGGUCUAUAAUACACCUAUUUGGUUCGAAAAUGCUCCAUGUUAUGAUUAUUGACUUUAUAUACUACUCUCAUUUAUUUUGUAUAAAAGCUUACUAUUUUGAGUUGUUUCACAUACCAGUACAAUUGUAUUGACCCUCUAUAUUUUAGGGUUUGAGGCCCAGUCUAGAGGUCCCGCUAAGCCAUAGAGUUUUCCCGACAGAAGUAAAGUGUGUAGUUGGUGAGCCUUCUUUAUUCUGGAAGGCAUAUUUCCUUUUAGUCAUCUAUUACUUAUGUGGGUUUAGGUCCACUGGGGUCCUUGUAUCAAUUGUAGAUAUUUUAUUCAUUUUUUUUGUAUGUUUUAGAGAUUUCACAGACUAAAAUUGAUGAUCUCUAGAUGUUGAUGGAUUUCUUUCUAUAUUAUUAAAUUGAACUCAGAGUAUGACCAUGAUUCUGUAAUGUCUUGUAUUUUUGAAUCUUUCCUUAUUAUGUAAGUGCUGUACAUGAUUACUAGAUAUAGAAGGACGCUCGGGCCUCUAUGGAUCGGCAUGCUUGUUACGACCAGAGCCUCAAUUUGGGUCAUAGAAAACUUGGUAUCAGAGCACGAUUCAUGGUCCUAGGGUGUCUGCAAAAUUACGUCUAGUAGAGUCUUGUUUAUAGGUGUGUAGUGUUCCACACUUAUAGGUUUUAGGGAUAGUUAUCUUUCUUGUGUUUUAGUUCGUGCUAGAGUCUAAAUGUCCUCUAAUUAAUAGUCUCUUGUAUUUUAUAAAAGCUAUCAUGCCUCCACGACUCUCCAAUGAAUAGAAUGCCCAAACUAAGGAUAUCCGUCCUACCCAUGGGAUGAGGAAACGUAAUAGGGCUCCUACUCCUGAAAAUAUUGCUGCUUCGAGAGUCUCCCCUGUUCAUAUCAGGCCACCCAGGGCACCUAGGGCUCCCCGAUCUGGGACUAACCACACCCAACCUCCCUAGAGAGAGAUAUAAAAUGCUGAGUUCUGACAGUUGAUGCAUAUGCUUGCACAGCUAGCGGCUUCAUAGACCCAAAGAUUAGAGAAUAUUGGGUCUACGUCUGGUGCAUCCGAGACUACAUGGGUGGGUCAGCUUAUAAGGUUGAACCCACCUAAGUUUACGGGUAGAAAGGUAGAGGAGGAUCCACAAGAGUUUGUGGAAGAGAUCGAGAAAAAAUUUUAAGUGAUGCACGUAGAUGAAGUGAAAGGGGUUGAACUAGCAUCUUAUGAACUUAAGGAGGUAGAAAAUCAGUGGUACAAUGAGUGGGAGGAUUCUAGGGGUAAAAAUAUUGAGCCUUCUAUGUAGGACGAAUUUGUGAAAGCCUCUCUGGACCGAUCCUUUUCCCAGGAGUUGAGGAAGUCCAAGGCUGAGGAGUUCAUGAACGUAAAGCAACGGUAGAUGAGCAUUAAGGAGUACACCCUAAAAUUCAAUCAACUAUCCCAUUAUGCUCCAGAGUUGGCAGGAAACAUGAGGGACCAUAUGAGGAAGUUUGCAUCCGAUCUUUCAGAUGACUUAGUAUUAGAGUGCAAAGGGGCCAUAUUGAAAAGAGAUAUGGACUUCUCCAGAAUCUCUGUGCACAUACAACAGAUUUAGAAUCAGAAGAAGAGGGUUGCUUUAGUAAGGGAGAAAAAUAGAUAGGCCAAGAGAGCCGGACCAGAAGACCAGAACUAUAUUCAGCACCAAGAAGGUAAUUAGGGUAAUAGGUGGCCAAAGAAAAAGUUUUGGAAUCAUGCCUAAUCUUCAUCCAGCGCCCCUGCGCCCAGACCCCUAGUUAAUCGACCGUCUCAAAAUUUUUAUCCCAACGAUAGAUCCAGAAUGUAGGGCACUCAGUCUUAAGAGAGUGUGGCUUAGUCGUAUAGGUCAUAUCCUCGUUACGAAAAAUAUGGGAGGAACCAUCCGGAAAAGUGUAUCUAUGGUUCGCACGUGUGUUAUAAUUGUGAUAAAUAAGGCCAUUUCAAGAAGAAUUACCCCACUGCUAGAGAAAAUGUGGGAGGUACUAGAUCCCGAACUAAUUCUUCCGCGCCACCACCACCUUCUAAGGAUGCUACUUUAGAUCCCGAAAGAUAUCGCAACCAGUUAUAUUCCUUGUCUCGCUAGGAUAUAGAGGCUUCUCCAGAUAUAGUCACAGGUAUGUUACAAAUUUUCUCCUAUGAUAUAUAUGUGUUACUUGAUCCUGGGUCUACUUUUUCUUAUGUGACCCCAUAUGUGGCAUUCAGUUUUGCGUUUGAGCUCGAAGUUAUUAUAGAACCUUUCUCUAUUUACACUCCUGUAGGUGAUUCUGUUGUGGCUAGGAGAGUAUAUAAAAAUUACGUUGUGUCUAUUUGUAGCCAUGAUACCAUGGCAGACCUCAUAGAGCUUGAUAUGGUUGAUUUUGAUGUUGUUUUAGGAAUGGACUGGCUCCAUUCACGUUAUGCCAUACUAGAUUAUAGAACUCAAAAGGUUACCUUCUCUUUUCCAAAUGAACCAGUAAUAGAAUGGAAGAGGCAUUCUUUAGCACCUAGAAGGAAAUUCAUAUCUUACCUCAGAGGCCGUAAGCUUAUUUCCAAAGGUUAUUUGUACCAUCUUAUUCAGGUUAAGGAUACAAAUACCAAAAGUCCUUCUCUUUAGUCUGUCCCUGUGGUUAAUGAAUUCCCAAAAGUCUUUCCCGAUGAUCUCCCAGGGAUACCACCUGAUAGGGAGAUAGAUUUUGGUAUUGAUUUAUUGUCAGACACUCAUCCUAUUUCUAUUUUGCCAUAUAGAAUGGCUCAUGCAGAAUUAAAUAAGUUGAAAGAAUAGUUGAUAGAUAUUCUUGACAAAGGCUUUAUCCGACCUAGUGUUUCUCCCUGGGGUGCACCAGUACUCUUCGUGCGUAAUAAAGAUGGUUCCUUCUAUAUUUGUAUAGAAUAUCGGUAGUUAAAUAUGGUCACUAUUAAAAACAAAUAGCCUCUUCCUAGGAUUGAUGAUCUCUUUGACCAACAUUAAGGUGCUAAGUGUUUUUCGAAGAUAGACCUUCGUUCGGGGUAUCACCAGUUGAAGGUUAGGGAGGCUGAUAUUCCUAAAACAAUUUUACAAACUUGGUAUAGCCAUUAUGAAUUCUUAGUCAUGUCCUUAGGAUUGACUAAUGCCCCUGCAACAUUCAUGGACCUAUUGAAUAGGGUGUUAUACCAAUUUUUAGACUUGUUCAUCAUAGUCUUCAUUGAUGACAUUUUGAUUUAUUCCAAGAGUGAGGAGGAUCAUGCCAGUCACCUCUUAAUCAUUCUUCAGACCCUCAUAUAUCAUAAAUUAUAUACAAAAUUCUCCAAGUGUGAAUUCUGGCUUAAUGCUAUUGCUUUAUUAGGGCAUAUUGUGUCUAGUGAGGGAAUUAAAAUUGAUCCCCAAAAGAUUGAUGCAGUGAAAAAAUGGCCCAGACCCACGACUCUAACCAACAUUCAGAGCUUCUUGGGUUUGGAGGGGUAUUAUAGAAGAUUCGUAGAGAGAUUUUCUUUCAUAGUUGCUCUACUUACCAAAAUGACACAGAAAAAGGUGAAAUUUUUGUGGUCUGACUCAUGUGAGAAUAGUUUCAAGAGGUUGAAAGACAAGUUGACUACUACACCUGUGUUGACUCUUUCAGAAGGUACAGAGAGUUUUGUGGUGUAUUGUGAUGCAUCCCGAGUGGGAUUUGGUUGUGUGAUUAUGCAACAUAGUAAGGUGGUAGCUUAUGUAUCUAGACAGUUAACGAUGCAUGAGCAAAAUUACCCCACCCAUGACUUGGAGUUAGCGGCUGUGGUUUUUGCAUUUAAGAUCUGGAGGCAUUAUUUGUAUAGGGUAAAUAUUGAUAUUUAUACUGACCAUAAAAGUUUGCAGCAUGUCUUUUCAUAGAAAGAGUUGAAUCUUAGGCAAAGGUGUUGGUUGGAACUGUUGAAGGAUCAUAACAUGAGACUGCACUAUUAUCCGGGUAAAGUGAAUGUGGUGGCUGAUACCCUCAGCAGAUUAUCCAUGUGAAGUCUUUCUCAUGUUGAGGAAGGAAAGAGGGAGAUGGUGAAAGAUAUUCAUCGACUUGAAAAUCUAGGGGUGCGACUUCUGGAUUUCGAAAAUAGAGGAGUAGUUGUGCAUGAAAUAGCUAAAUCUUCCCUAUGUGUGGAAGUUAAAGAGAAACAGGUAGAGGAUCUCAUCUUGAUGCAAAUUAAUAAAGAUGUUGGUCAACAGAAGGUUAUAUCUUUUGAAAUUGGCGGUGAUGGUAUUUUGAGGUACCAAGGUGGGUUGUGUAUACCUAAUAUGGAUGGUUUGCGGGAGAGAAUCCUCGAUGAGGCUCACUCUUCAAGGUAUGUUGUUCACCCAGGAUCUACUAAAAUGUACCAUGAUCUUAAAGCUAUAUACUGGUGGAAUAAUAUGAAAUAUGAUGUUGCUGAUUUUGUUUCCAAGUAUUUGAAUUGCCAACAAGUUAAAGUGGAACAUUUUAGACCAAAUGGUACUUCUCAAGAGAUAUAUUUGCCUAUGUAGAAGUGGUAGAUGGCAAAUAUGGACUUCUUCAUGGGACUUUGGAGGUCCCAAAAUCAAUAUGAUUCUAUUUAGGUAAUUGUGGACCGAGUAACCAAGGCAACUCACUUUUUGCCUGUGAGGAAUAACUAUUUGGGAGAUAAUUAUGCCAAGCUGUACAUUAAGAAAAUAGUUCGUUUGCAUGGGGUACCAGUAUCUAUUAUAUCCGAUCGAGGUACGCAAUUCUCUUCCUAAUUUUGGCAAUUUUUUCAGAGGGGUUUAGGUAGCUAGGUGAACUUGAGGACUGCUUUCAACCCUCAAACUGAUGGACAAGAUGAACACACUAUUUAGACUCUUGAGAAUAUGUUGAGAUCCUGUGUAAUUGAUUUCAAAGGUAGUUGGGUAGAUUAUUUUCCACUGAUAUAGUUUGCCUGCAAUAAUAUCUACCAUGCUAGUAUUAAGAUGGUUCUUUUGAGGCAUUUUAUGGAAGGAGUGUAGAUUACUAAUUGGGUGGUAUGAAGUGGGGGAAACUCGGUUGUUUGGUCCUGACCUUGUUCAUCAGGCAAUUGAGAAGGUGAAGAUCAUUAGAAAAUGACUUAAGACAGCUCAGAGUCGUCAGAAAUCCUAUGCCAAUGUUAGGAGGAGAGAGUUGGAGUUUGAGGUUAGUGAUUGGGUUUUUCUCAAAGUCUCCCCUAUGAAAGGAGUCGUGCAAUUUGAAAAGAAAGAAAAACUAAGUCCUUGCUAUAUAGGACCAUAUCAGAUUGUAAGAAGGAUAGGUGGGGCUUCUUAUGAAUUCGAAUUGCCCACAAGUAUGACUUUUGUACAUCUUGUAUUUCAUGUGUCCAUGUUAAACAAGUACAUUGGAGAUCAUUCCCUAGUAUUGCUUGUGGAGGAGAUUAGUGUGAAAGACUCCUUGUGAUACGAGGAAGAACCCAUUGCCAUCUUGGAUCGCCAAGUUCGAAAGUUGAGGAGUAAGGAAAUAGCUUCAGUUAAGGUGCUAUGGAUGAAUUAAAAAGCUAAGAAGGCUACGUGAGAUUCAGAAAAUGAUAUGGAUGUGAGGUACCCGACUCUCUUCAUGGACAUGGAUGAUAACUUAGAAGAUACAAAUCCUAUACUACUCCUUUUCUUUCAUUUAAUUCUUAUAAAUUGUGUUGGUUGUGUCACGAGUCAUCAUUUGGGGUUGAAUGAUCCCAAGGGGGUAAAAUGUAACAACCCUCAAUUUAGGCUAGAAUGUAACCGUCAUUCCUACGCGUAAAUAUCCCAAAAGUCUCCCCAUUGAUUGAGUUUUGACGAGCGUCUAAAAUUUUGUUUGUAUUUUAUUCUAGUGGCUCACUGCAUUUGGGCCGCGUCAUGGUAAGAAUAGUGAUAGAAACCUCACCGCGUCGUGAUGGAGGCUAUUUCAGUAAUUGUCAAUUUCCAAAAACUCACUGUAAUUUCACCGCAUCGCGGUAAGUCCCCAAACAACAAUUGUCGCUAUCCAAUGAGUCACCGUAAUUUCACUGCAUCGCGGUUGGUAUCUCGAUGAUCCACUCAGUGCAUCACUGUAGGCCUCAAAAAUGGGAUUUUUUUUAGUAACUUUUAAUUUGAGGGCAGUCUCGUCUUUUCCCUACCUCUCCAAAUUGUAAUAACUGAAGAUUAAAAUGCUUUUGGGGUAUUAUAUGCCCACUUUCACUAAAUUUUAUCAAGAAAAAAGCCCUAACCUCCCUUCCCUUAAGAUCAAGAAUUCAUCAUUAAAGUCAAGGAUUCCAAGAACUUAUCUGAGAUUCAGGUUCCACCCUUCUCCUAAGUGAUCUAAGGUAUGUGGGACUACUCUAAAAACCUUGGGCAUAAGUUUAAAUGUUUUGUCAAGAUUAAAGAUCCCCAAUUUUGAUUUAUAAUGAAGUAUAUCAUCUGAAUUUUGAAGAUUAUGCAUUAUGAGACUGUUUUGACGGAAAUAUAUGUUGAUUUUGAAUAAUGUUUCAUGAAAAUUGAAUUAUAACUAUAUAUAUAUAUAUAUAUAUAUGAUUUUGCACAUGUUUGAAAGAUUAUUGAAAGCAUGAGUUUGAAUUCCCUCUCUUGUUGCUAAAUAAAGUUUAUAUGAUCAUUAGGAAUGUUUUAAAAUGCAUGUCUUAAGAUUUUAAAGUGAUCUUCUCAAUUUAAUAGUGUUUGACAUAGUUUUAUAUUAAAUGAAAGGGAGUUUCUUGUCAUAACUAUAUCUUUGCUUUAAAAAGGGAAAGAAUUGCAGGUGAUUGAUUAAAUUAACAUAACCACCACAUGUUUUGGAAUUUUUCAAAGAGAUGAUAAAUGCCUAAGUUUUCUUGAGAUUUCAAAGUGAUGACUCUAAUGUGAUGUUAUGAAGUUUGGGUAGUCAUGUGCAUGUUUUGAAUAUAAUGGGCUGUGAAUUUGAUAUAAUAUUGACUUGCAAGUCAGGGUAUGACGAUACCAGGUGAUGACAUGCCCUUAAUAGAAAAAGUAUAAAUUGUUUGAAAAGCAUGAUGCAGAUUUUGAAUAAUUAAAAAUUAGAAUUAAAGAGAGGUAGAUGGUUACCCGAAGAAGGCAUUUGAGUGUAAGGGCUCAUCGCCUGAAUAAUCAAAUUUGUCGAUUCAGGAGAUAUGAUUGGCUAAAGCCAGUGUAUACUUGUCCUUGAGACACUGGUAUACUAGAAUAGAAAUUAGUACUCUAAUCCUUGCGACAUUCUUGGAUUGAGGGCUUGGCCAUUGAGUUAAGGAAAGAUUCCAUAUAAUCCCUGGGAUCGUAGAAAUGUAGGGUGUACUAUCUAUCUCAAGAUUAAGAUAAAGAGUGAGUCAUGUUUUCAAAGAAGUGCCUUGGAGUCACAAAAAUAUGCCCGUUUAUUUUACUUACGUGCUAUGAUUAUUGACUUUAUGAACUGCUCUCAUUUAUUUUGUCUAAAAUCUUGCUAUUUUGAGUUGUUUCACAUACCAGUACAAUUGUAUUAACCUCUAUAUUUCAGGGUUUAAGGCCCAGUCUAGAGGUCCUGCUAAGCCGUAGAGUUUUCCAAUCAAAAGUGAAGUGUGCAAUUGGUGAGCCUUCUUUAUUUUGGAAGGCCUAUUUCCUUUCAGUCAUUUGCUACUUAUGUUGGUUUAGGUCCACUAGGGGCCUUGUCCUAGUUGUAGACAAUUUAUUGAUUUUUUGGAUAUUUUAGAGAUUUCGUAGAUUGAAAUAGAUGUUGUCUAGAUGUUGAUGGAUUUCUUUCUAUAUUGUUAAAUUGAACUCAGAGUAUGACCAUGAUUCUGUAAUGUAUUGUAUUUCCGCAUCUUUCCUUAUUAUGUGAGUACUGUGCAUGAUUACCAGAUUAAGAAGGGCGCUCGGGCCUUCAUAGCUCGGGAUGCUCGUUACGGACAGAGCCUCGGUUUGGUUCGUAUCAAUUCCUCUAUUUAUAGGGAAAAUACCCCUAGUUUCUGACUAAAAGACAGAUACUUCAAAUCCUGAUAGAUAUCAACUAGAUCUUGAUAGAUCUUAUCUAUAUUCUUAAUAGACUUUCACUAAGAUCUUAUCUAUAUUCUUGAUAGAAAUUCACUAUAAUGUGAAUACAUUCAUAACACUCCCCGUUGAAUGUCUAAUUGAUAGAUAAUGUGUCUCGUUAAAACCUUACUAGAAAAAACCCAGUAGGAAAAAAAUCUAGUGAAAGAAAAAGAGUGCACAUCUCUAACAAUAUGCAUAUAGGCUGCCUCAUUAAAAACAUUACAAGAAAAAUCCAGUGGGACAAAACUUUGUAAGGAAAAAAGUGUACAACGUGUAUUAACUUCCCCUAAUGAGAACAUCCUUGAAGCUUUGGAUCCUGAUCUUGUGCACUAUCUUCUUGAAAGUUGCAAUUGGAGGAGACUUGGUGAAUAAAUCAGCCACAUUAUCACUUAAACGAAUCUGUUCCAUAUUAAUAUCACCAUUCUUUUGUAGCUCGUGUAUAUAGAAAAACUUUGGUGAAAUGUGCUUCGUUCUAUCUCCUUGAGUCCCCCCUUAAGUUUUGUUGUACAUGUUGCGUUAUCCUCAUUAAAAAAUCAUGGGUACUUUGUCAUAUUUCAAACCAUAUUUUUUGUGAAUGAGAUGUAUCAUGGACCUCAAUCACAUACACUCUUGGCUUUCUUCAUGAAUAGCUAUUAUCUCAGCAUAUUUUGAUGAAGUGGCUAUGAUAGACUACUUUGUAUAUAUUCAAGAUAUCGCAAUAUCCCCAUAUGUGAACAUAUAGACUCUUUGAGAUCGAGUUUUAUAUGGGUUAGAUAAGUACCCAGCAUCAGAAUAGCCAAUAAGAUCGAGACUGCAAGCUUUAGAAUAAAAUAAGAUCAUGUGUUUGAUCUCAUUUUGAUGUCUCCUAAUAGGAGAAGAACUAUAUCUUAUUAACAAAUUAAUUAAAAAGUCUAUAUCAGGCCUUGUAGUAUUUGAAAGAUACAUUAGGACACCAAUUGGACUAAGAUAUGGUACUUCAGGACCAAUCCAAUUCAAUCGGUAUGUUUCGCAUUUUAGCAAAUAAUCUUAUUAUUUUUGAAAACUAUCCAAGAAUUUCAAUGAUUUUCAAACCAUCAAUUUAUCCCUUAUAAGGAUAAUAAAUAAGUUUCCCAGAAACUUUAUAUGCUUCAGACAUUUUGAAUCCUUUAGGUAUUUUCAUAUGGAUUUUUGUUAAGUGACAAUAUCAAUAUAUGUGACGACUUCAAGUGUCUAGAUUGCAAAUCAAAUAAGUGUUAUGUUUACCAAGAUGCAUCCUUUCAUGUCACUUGGUAAAUGUUUCUAUGCCAACAUGCUUAAAUAAACGUAGAAUUCAGAUCCUCAUAAUCUUCCACAAUAUUGUGCCAAUAUUGUAUCAAGAAUAUCGUUGAUGACUUCACAUUUUAUAUCGAUUUGCAGUGUGACAUAACAUUUUGAGAUCUCAUCAUUUCAUUAUUUUCAGGUACCUGAACCUCUCAUAAGGUUUCAUGAAGUGUUAUGUCUUAGGCUCUUCAAGAGCACAUUGCCUUCUUAAUAUGAUUAGUUGCUUCUUAUUUUUCAAAGAUUAUUUUGUUUGAAAAAGAUUAGUCUAACACGCUUCAUGCAUGCGGAGACUUUGUCCUUUAAGAACAUAAAAUAGGAGCACUUGCAGCUUAAAAAUGAGAUGCUUUCAGCAUUUGACUUGAAUUUUGUUUGAAUGAGGAUCUGGUGAUAAUUCCUAACAUAUUUCAUAGCCACUUAUAAUCUCCCCCUUAUGUUAGUAAAACUAACAUACAUCCCCAUAAUCUUUUAGGAAUUCAUCUUUGUGUAUCAUGGUAUAUUCAUUAAUCGUAUACCGUACAUCAACUGUUAGAUGUAAUAAUUGGUUCAUGACCUUGAAUCAAUUGAGAGGGAAGAAAUAAUCAUAAUUUGUUGGUUUAAUGCAUACAAGUGCUAUUGUAUGCAACAUAUCAUAUUUCAGACCACCACAUGAAGCUUUGUUCUUAUUAGCAAUGGUUUAGCUAUUUAUCGAAGGCAUUCAAUGCCAAACCAUCAUUAUUAAAAUGAAUUGUCUUGAUUAAACAAUCUGAAAAUUAUGUUCUUAACUCAAUUUUAUUGAGUAAAUAACUUUAUGAAUGUCAAACUGCAGAUUAACAAUAAAUAUACAUGUGAUCAUCUUAUUGAUGCAUCUUUUCAAUAUAUCAUAAGAUAGGUGAACGGACCCUUAUUGAUACGAUAAAAACAAGGGACACACGAAAAGGCUCAAAACAGUCUACAAAUCAAGAGGAAUUCGAGGACCUUUUUGAGAGCUAGUUUCGGCCGAACAACAACAACACAAGAAUACAAGGAAACAAGGUGUAUUUAUACACCAAAACAACCACUAAAACGUGAUGAACACAAGAAUAUAGACAACAAUAUGAGAAGGUUAAUAGCAACCACAAGCGGUUACAUGAUACAUGAACAACAAGACCCAACGGUUUCCCUAAACAACACUAACUAAGAUAUGAAAUAUAGAGAUAGAUAGUGAGACAUAUACUACAAUAAGACCCAAUAACCCAAAGAUAUAUUAAAUCUAAGGACCCCUAGAACUUACAGUAUAAACACCACACUCUUACGAAGACACGAGAGGGAUUCCACCGCUUAAGCACAAUUAUUUCCAAGCAAUACACAUUCACAAGUUCUUCCACACUUGCCAUGUCCUAGUUUCGGCCUAGGGAGGCUCUCUCUCUCUCUCAAGAGAAGUGUUUUUGUUCUUUCAAUAUCAUGAGACAAUUAACUAAAAUAAAACCCUAACAUGUUCCUUAUAUAGUAAUUACAAAAUGGAAUACAAAAAUAUACAUAAUACCCCGCAAAGUGAGGUACCCCUCAAGUGUAAGAGUGGACUGAUUUUUGGUGUGUUUUGGACCUCUUCUACACUUAAAUUGCACACACCAAGUCUCGGGACCAACGCGCACCCUCAUAAGUCCAUAUCGAUGAUUAUUCUUGUAUUAUCCUCUCCAUCUUGAGAGAAAUUUUCCCAUAAAUUCACGAAUUCAUCUCGUUCAAUUGUCCACUUCAAAAGAACUAUCCAAAACAGUCAGCAAAACAUAAGAAAUCCAAGUGCUCAAUAACAACAAGUCUUAGCCAACAUCUUCAUUUAGCACUUCGACUUCCUGUCCAUCUUAAAAAUUGCCUUCAAUCUUAUUCGGCUCAAUUGAGUUUCAACCUAUCCAAGCUAGCACUAGGAACAUUGUUAUCCAUUAUAGUCAAGAAGUUACUACAAAAAACACAAACAAAUUAGUUGUACAAGAAAAGUCCUCACACUCUCUCUUUAUUUCCUUGCCUCUCGGAUUCCUCACACCUAACCUCACAAGUGUUGUAAGCAUGCUUGUACUCUGGGAGGUGUUGAGAGGUGAACCAAAUGUUUACAAUGACUCAAAACGACUAAGACACACAAAGGACCAUACACACGAAGAACGGUUUCAAAACUAACUUACAAUCUAGUACUAGCUUGUAAGUUAGUAAUGGAAUCAACAUACGAAACUAAAUAAACAACACAAUGAAACUAAAAAAUCACAAUUUGACCAUAAAUAUAUUGCGUGAACAUUAAAACAUGAUUAUGUGGCAGCCAUGUAUUGUUCGAUUUUAUCAAAUUUUAUUUCCAAUUCAAGUCUUGGUCCAAUUGUAAUUUGAAAAUGGUGGAAAUUGGUUAAGGAGGGAAAACAAGUCUUGAAAUCCUCUUUCAAGUUCAAAAAACAAGACUUGACUUUUCUCCUCAAGACAUGGUCCUUAAAUCAAGGAAAGGUGGUUGAGAAGUGAUUGAUAUGUAUUUGGUAAUUGUAAAGUCUUCAAGACCAACAAGUCUUACACUUUGUUCCUUCACUUUUAGGAUCUAACACUUCACUUUUUUCUUUAUAAUUUUAUGAAGGAGGUGAAGAACACAAGAACAAGAACAACAUUCACCAAGAACAACAACAAUCUCCAAAAACAACCAACAACAAAUCCACCAACAAACGGCCAAGUCCCUUUAGUGUUGCAUUUCGGUUUUAACAAGAUAUGAAGGUUGUGAUGAACAAAAAGAACACAAAAAAAAGCCUUUCAAGAUCUACAACAACAGGAACCAGCAUUCAACUCCCACAACAACAAGUCAUCACACGGCCAAGAACAUGACAAUAACAACAUACGGCCACACUUCAAGUUCACAACAACAACUUCAACUUUUCAAGCUUAAAUCUAGAUCUUGACUCAAAGUGCUAGUGAACAAGAAAACCAACACUUAGAAACAACCAAACAAAAAAAGGACUCCAAGAUAUAGAUAGUAAAACAAGAAAAAUCUCGGUCAAGACACAAUAAGAACACAUUUUCGGCCAAGACACAAAAUGGAUAGAUUUACUCCUUUUUGGAAUUUUCAGUUUUGAACACUUCUUUUUUAUUUUUCCACUAACAAACCCAAGAUUGAUGUUGUGGGAACAAUAUCAAGUCAUAAUUUGAUACCAAAUGAUACGAUAAAAACAAGAGACACACGAUAAGGCUCAAAACUGUCCAUAAAUCAAGAGGAAUCCGAGGACCUUUUUAAGAGUUAGUUUCGGCCAAACAAUAACAACACAAGAAUAUAAGGAAAAAAGGUGUAUUUAUACAUCAAAACAACCACUAAAACGUGAUGAACACAAGAAGAUAGACAAUAAUAUGAUAAGGUUAAUAAUAACCACAAGCGGUUACAUGAUACAUGAACAACAAGACCCAAUGGUUUCCCUAAACAACACUAACUAAGACAUAAAAUGUAGAGAUAGAUAGUGAGACAUACACUAAAAUAAGACCCAAGAACCCAAAGACAUAUUAAAUCUAAGGACCCGUAGAGCUUACAAUAGCAACACCACACUCUUACGAAGACACAAGAGGGAUCCCACCGCUCAAGGACAAUCAUUUCCAAGCAAUACACACUCACAAGUACUUCCACACUUGCCAUGUCCUAGUUUCGGCCUAGAGAGGCUCUCUCUCUCUCAAGAGAAGUGUUCUUGUUCUUUCAAUAACAUGAGACAACUAACUAAAAUAAAACCCUAACAUGUUCCUUAUAGAGUUAUUACAAAAUGAAAUACAAAAAUGUACAUAGUACCCCUCAAGGUGAGGUGCCCCUCAAGUGUAAGAGUGGACUGAUUUUUGGUGUGUUUUGGACCUUUUCUACACUUCAAUUGGACACACCAAGUCUCGGGACCAACGCGUAUCCUCAUAAGUCCAUAUCCUUGAUUAUUCUUGUAUCACUUAUUCACCUUUUAUACUUUUCACAUUUUAAGGGAUCCAGUCCCAAAAUUAGUUGGUCCAACCAACUUAUCAUGAGAGCAAAUAACAUUAAACGUAAUGAAGAAUUUUCUAAUUCUUUAAUAUAUGCUCAAUACUCAGUAUGCACAUCUUUGAGAUGUCAUAAUUGUUCAUGUCAAUUUGUGAACUUUUAAUCUAGUAAACUCCAAGUUUACAUGACGUGCUUUUACUAUGACAUAAGUAAAUUUUAAAAUAACUCUUCUCAUUUAUUCUUCCUCAUUCGAAGGUAAGUUGUGAUACCAUCACAAUCGAUUCUCAAUUAUUCUUCCUCAUUCGAAAGUGAGUUGUGAUACCAUCACAAUCAAUUCGCAAUUAUUCUUCCUCAUUUGGAGGUGAGUUGUGAUACCAUCACAAUCAAUUAUAUGUUUAUUAUUAUUUUCUCAUUGGAUGUUUUUGGUGAUGCAAGUUUGAUUAAUGUAGCAACCUCGUGUUUGAAGUACAUACAAAACAUCAUCACUUUAAAUAUACACAACAUAUAAAUUUAGAUUAUCACCUGCACAGAAUAAUACAUACAAGGUAUUUUGUACUUACACAUUACAAAACAUAGCACGAUGAGAAACAAUUAAAGUUAUAAUCUCUUUAUGAUUUACACAGUUAAAAGACUUCACAAACACUUCCCGUGCAGUAUAUAUUUCCACACAUGAAAACAAUCACUUAACAGAGCAUUACGUAAAGUGCAGCAAUAAAAAUAAAUGUUAAAAGAUCAUUAAAGUGAAAAUACGAAAAAGGGUCAAACAUACCCCUGAACUAAUCAAAAAUAUCCCUCGUUAGGUUUUUGGGUCAAAAAUACCCCUCCGUUAAAUAUUUGGCUAAAAAAUACCCCUCCUCUUAAUGGAAUUCCACCAUGCAUGCCACCUAGGUAAAAAUAGCCACAUGGCUAUGCCACGUCAUUAUCCACAUGUAAGAUUUUAUUUUUUGAAAAAGGGUCAAAAAUACCCCUGAACUAUUUGAAAUGGAUAAAAAAAUACUCCUUGUCGGUUUUUUGGCUAAAAAAUAUCCCUUCUGUUAAAUAUUUGGCUCAAAAAUAUCCCUUCCUUAAUGGAAUUCCACCAAGCAUGCCACCUAGAUUAAAAAAAAAACAACGUGGCUAUGCCACAUCACCAUCCACAUGUAAAAUAUUAUUUUUUAAUUAUAUGACAUUUCUUUCUUCUUUAUUUUUAUUUUUAUUUUUAUUUUUUGCAAAGCAGUUUUAUCGAUCUGAAAAAAAUAUGAUCAGAAAAAUUAAAAAUUUCUUAAAAUAUUUAAAUAAAAUAAAUUAGUAUUUUUAGUGAAUUUGGUUUAACGUUUUGGGAUUUCUUGACAUUGGGAAGGUACUAAACAAAUUUUGUUAAAGCGGUACAAAUUAUUCAAAUUUUUUCAUUAUAUGAUAAACUUUUCACUUAGAUUAUUAAAGAAAAUUAUAUCCAUGUUUUUCUAAUGAUUAAAAUAUAUUAAAUGUCAUUUACUUUUCUGAAAUUUUUUUCUUAUAUUAAAUGUCAUUAUCAAAAAUACUAAGAAUACUUGAUGACUAAACAUAAAAUUCAAAAAAACUAUUAACAUUUAUUGAGUCCAGAAAAAAUAAAUCAACAUCAUUGAAUAUAAUCUUUUUAUUUAACUCCUUCAUCAAGAAGAAAGGAAUGCCAUAUAAUUAAAAAAUAAUAUUUUACAUGUGUAUGGUGACAUGGCAUAGCCACAUGACUUUUUUAUCUACGUGGCAUGCUUGGUAGAAUUCCGUUAAGGGAAGGGAUAUUUUUGCGCCAAAUAUUAACAGAGGGGUAUUUUUGAGCCAAAAAAUUAAAGAGGGGUAUUUUUGUUCCAUUUCAGAUAGUUCAGGGGUAUUUUUGACCCUUUUCCAAAAAAUAAAAUUUUACAUGUGGAUGGAUGGUGACGUGGCAUAGCCACGUGGCUUUUUUUACCUAGGUGGCAUGCUUGGUGAAAUUUUGUUAAGAAGAGGGCUAUUUUUUAGCCAAAUAUUUAAUGAAGGGGUAUUUUUGAGCCAGAAAACUAACGAGGGGUAUUUUUGAUCCAUUUCAGAUAGUUCAGGGGUAUUUUUGACCCUUUUUCGGUGAAAAUAAAUGACAAUGUCAAAUUGCAUGUACAUGCCUUAUCUUUGGGACGAUUAUUAUAUCCAUAAGAUCUCACCAGAAAUUUUCAAUAUAAUAAGGUAACAAUGAUGUCUUUUGCAAGUUAAUCAUGAAUCAUAAUUAAAUAAAUUUAGAGAUCGUGCUAAUAACGUGUUACGAAAUAUAAAGUAAGAAUAGCAAGAAUAAAUAGAAAGAGAAGAGAAGAGGCUUCUUUAUUUCUCUUGAGGAUGAGAGAUUAUCAGAUUUAGGAUACAAUGAAGAAAAUUCCUCUAUAGUUUCUGACUAAAAGACAAAUACUUCAAAUCCUGAUAGAUAUCAACUAGAUCUUGAUAGAUCUUAUCUAUAUUAUUGAUAGACAUUCACUAAGAUCUUAUCUAUAUUCUUGAUAGACAAUCACUAUAAUGUAAAUACAUUCAUAACCUUCCAAUAAUACAUAUACAUACACCUCAACUAUUCGACUUUUUCCGUAUAGACACCUCAAUUAAGCCAUGUGCCUAUUGAACCCUUUACUCCUUCACAAAAUAUGUCAAUUGAACACAAUCGUUGAUGUGACGCUGACAUGGCAUGACAUGUGUAACACACUCUCCAAAUGGGAAGUGAGGAGCCAUUAAUCAAAAAGAUUAAAUAUAAAAAACCCCAACCAAUAAAAAAAAGACACAUAAAAUAAUUUUUUUAAAAAAAAAGAAAUAGUCACCAUCUUCAUCUUCUUCUCCGUACCUUCUUCUUCUUCUCCAUUAAUGGCUACAACCAAAAAAAAGAAUAUCAAUUCAACAUGCACUCAUAUACAAUAAGCAACAAUAAUAAUUUAUUUUUUUUACUCCUUAAAAUUCACUUUUAAUGGCUACAACCAUAUACACUUCCAAAAUAAACUAUUCAGCCUAUUAAUGGCUACAAUCAUUUUAAAAUUCACUCCAUUAAUGGCUACAACCAUUAAAAAGUAUUUUUGUGUCUUCUUCUUACUCUAUUCUUCCACCAUUAAAAUUCAGUUUUACUCCUCCAUUUUCCAUCAAAACAACACCCACAAUCAAAAAAGUCAGGAAGGCAGCUGCGGGGGUGCUUCAAUGAUGGAAAAAAAAAGAAAAUUUUUUAGGAGAUAAAUGAAGGAAAAGAAGAUUCAAUUCUUUUUUUACUUUGUGUGCUCAACAAUGGAAUAAGGGGUAUUUGGAAGGGAAGAGGAGGGGGGUGGGGGGAUGGAGGAGGAAGAUCGGGUAGGUGCUUUAAUGGUGGAAAAAAAAAGGAAAAUUUUUUAGAAGAUAAGUGAAGAAGCAGAAGAAGAUUCUUUUUUUUUUCUUUUGUUUUUCUGUGUUCAACAAUGGAGAAGGACAACCGGGUAGUCAGCUAGGGGAUAUAUUUUUUUUUCUAAGAAAAAUUAGAUUUAAUUAUAUUAGAAAUUUUUUUUAUAAUUAUUUUAAGUUAAAAUGCCAUGUGUUGCUAUUUAAUUCGUUACUUUGCCACAUCAUCGACGUGUGUAUUACACACAUUUUAUAUUUUUUGCCAUGUCAGUAAAUUGGGCUCAAUUGAAAUCAUUUGUUAAGGAGUAAAAGGUUCAAUAGAUACCUGACUUAAUUGAGGUGUCUAUACGAAAAAAGUGAAAUAGUUCAAAAACCUGUAUAUGUAAAUGUAUUUCAAUCAACGUAGUGAAAAGUCAGGAAAUAAAAAGUGAAUGACUGAAUGAAAAUGAAAUUUAUGAGCCUGCUUUUUGGUAAAGCUUUUAAUUUUCCUAAAAUAGAGUCAUUUAAGUUAUUGUACUACUCUUGUAAUCAAUUAACUCAUAUUGGAAGUCAUUGACUUCUACACAUUUCAGUGAAAAUAAUAGCGAACAUGAUGGCACCUUUGAAAUUUAUGAGCCCGCUUUUUGGUAAAGCUUUUAAUUUUCCUAAAAUAGAGUCAUUUAAGUUAUUGUACUACUCUUGUAUUCAAUUAACUCAUAUUGGAAGUCAUGGACUUCUUCACAUUUCAAUGAAAAUAAUAGUGAACAUUCUAUUAGGAUUUAGGACCGAUUCAAAAUUUGAUAAUGUUCCAACUAUUCUAUGUGAACUUUUAUUUUUUAUUAAGUUUUACGUUAUACUUUAUUGGAAUCUUAAUAGGUUGAUUGGUUCCGUCAACUUUUAACUUUAUUUUGAGUAUUAGAUUGCUUACCUUAUAAUUCUUUCCCCAUUUCCCCUUCCCAUGGCUCCAAUUUUUUUCUAAAACAACUUUAUACUUUAUCUUAUGUUUCAUAUUCGAAACAUGUUUUAAUAAAUUUAUGUGAUUGUCUUAAAUAAUAUACUAAAUCACUAACACUUUGUUUGGAUGGUGGUCUGUCAUUCUUUCAUAAUGUACGAUAUUGUAUGGUAUGAUAUUGUAAUGUAAUGUAUAGUAUUCCCUCCGUUUUGGAAUAAGUGAAAUGUUAGGGUAUUUAUUGGUGUUUCAAAAUAGGUGAAUCAUUGAAUUUUAUUUUCAAAUUUGCCCUUAUGACUUGACAACCAAUUAACUUUUGAAAAGGUAUUGCAAGGUCAUCUUUUGCUUUUUUGGGUAAAAAUGAAAAGUUGUGUUAAAUUUAUGUCUUUAAUGCUUUUUCCUUAAUAUGUGUGUCAAAAUCCAACAAUUCAUUUAUUAUGAAACGGAGGGAGUAUAAAAUACAAUGUUUGAAUGGACUAUAGCAUUCAGUGCUAUUUAAUGACGGUUUUAUUGUUUGUUUUGACGGUAUAGUACUAUAUCAUAACUGAUAAGUUUACUAAAAAGCUCUUAAUAUUAUAAAUAUUAAAUUUAUCAAUAAUUGUUAGUAAAGUAAUUUUCUUCCUGCUAAUUUGUCACAAAUUAUGUCAUGUACAUAAAUUAAGUUGUUAAAUUCAUGUAAAUUUUAACAAAAUCAAUAUAAAAGUAGAUCAAAAUAAAUAUAAUCAAAGUCAUUUUUUAUAGUAACAAACUUUAUUUUCUUUUGGUAUUUUGAAACGUGACCACCAACGACAAGUACAAAAUUCGAAUGCAUGUUUUGUGUAUACUAGGUGCGUUUAGUAUGGAAUACGAAAAAAAAUUAUUUUAGGAAAAAAAAUAAUGAGAAAAAACAAUGAGAUAACAUCAAAUUGGUGGUUACAUAAAGUGGGAGUUUUCAUGAUUAUCAAACCGUGAAAUUAAAUCAUAUCAUAUCAUAUAUUUUAAAAAAUAAUUAAAACAAACAUGACUUUCUGAGUAAUCAUAUUAUGCAGUACCAUGAAAAACCACCAUCCAAUGGGUAAGGCAACACUGCAAGUUCUUAACUUCUUUCUUGAACUCCAUAACCAGUCAAAUAGAUUCGAGUUAAUUGAAGUGUUUUCGCAUGUCUUGUAAACCACAUAUCAUUCUUGUAAAUCGUUGAAGAAUAAACCUGAUAUUAAGGAUGAUAAUAGUUGGCACUUCCAAAUUGAAAAGUACUUUGAUGUUAACUGGUAAUAAUUUGUUUAAAAAAUUGCCCAUACAAAUAAAUAAUGCGUGUUCAUUACCGCGAGACAGAUUAUUAAAUCUAUACUAUGAUAAUUCAAUUAUUUAUUCUCUUCCUCUUGGACGCAGGGGCGGCUCUACCUUGUAAAAAAAAUAGGUGGCCGUCUUAGGCCUCCAAAUUUGAGGGGCCUCAUUUUUUAUAAUAAUAUAAAUAAUUUUUUUUAAAAAAAUUGAAUAUUAUUUAUAGAAAAAAGAAUUUUUUAAUAUAAAAGAAAAAAAUUAUUAGAAGUUCAUAUAUCUAAUGUCCUACAUCUCAAGAAAAAUUAAAUGCAUUGAUUAUAUUAUUACUUAAAAAAUAAUAGUUAGAAAAAAUUGAUUAUGUAAUUUUGAAAAUAGAGUUCAUUAAAAGAAAGUUAUUCUUUCUUAAAAUUUCAUAGCCUCCGUUUAAUUUUCGUCUUAUGCGACGAAUAUACUUGAACUGCACCUGCUUANNNNNNNNNNNNNNNNNNNNNNNNNNNNNNNNNNNNNNNNNNNNNNNNNNNNNNNNNNNNNNNNNNNNNNNNNNNNNNNNNNNNNNNNNNNNNNNNNNNNNNNNNNNNNNNNNNNNNNNNNNNNNNNNNNNNNNNNNNNNNNNNNNNNNNNNNNNNNNNNNNNNNNNNNNNNNNNNNNNNNNNNNNNNNNNNNNNNNNNNNNNNNNNNNNNNNNNNNNNNNNNNNNNNNNNNNNNNNNNNNNNNNNNNNNNNNNNNNNNNNNNNNNNNNNNNNNNNNNNNNNNNNNNNNNNNNNNNNNNNNNNNNNNNNNNNNNNNNNNNNNNNNNNNNNNNNNNNNNNNNNNNNNNNNNNNNNNNNNNNNNNNNNNNNNNNNNNNNNNNNNNNNNNNNNNNNNNNNNNNNNNNNNNNNNNNNNNNNNNNNNNNNNNNNNNNNNNNNNNNNNNNNNNNNNNNNNNNNNNNNNNNNNNNNNNNNNNNNNNNNNNNNNNNNNNNNNNNNNNNNNNNNNNNNNNNNNNNNNNNNNNNNNNNNNNNNNNNNNNNNNNNNNNNNNNNNNNNNNNNNNNNNNNNNNNNNNNNNNNNNNNNNNNNNNNNNNNNNNNNNNNNNNNNNNNNNNNNNNNNNNNNNNNNNNNNNNNNNNNNNNNNNNNNNNNNNNNNNNNNNNNNNNNNNNNNNNNNNNNNNNNNNNNNNNNNNNNNNNNNNNNNNNNNNNNNNNNNNNNNNNNNNNNNNNNNNNNNNNNNNNNNNNNNNNNNNNNNNNNNNNNNNNNNNNNNNNNNNNNNNNNNNNNNNNNNNNNNNNNNNNNNNNNNNNNNNNNNNNNNNNNNNNNNNNNNNNNNNNNNNNNNNNNNNNNNNNNNNNNNNNNNNNNNNNNNNNNNNNNNNNNNNNNNNNNNNNNNNNNNNNNNNNNNNNNNNNNNNNNNNNNNNNNNNNNNNNNNNNNNNNNNNNNNNNNNNNNNNNNNNNNNNNNNNNNNNNNNNNNNNNNNNNNNNNNNNNNNNNNNAUAAAAAUAGAUUCACUAGAAACCUACUAAAUCUAUUAUACCUACAAAAUCCGCGCACCCCCCUACAAUUGGUAUAGCUUUUAUUUUUAUAAAUGAAGAUAUGUGUAAGGGUGCGAGUAGGAAAGAACUUGAGAGUAGCAUUUAUAAAAGUUAUAACCCAUUUACAAAUACUUUUCAACAAAAAUACAUAGACAAACUUUAAUAUAAAAUAUCUAGCAAAGUAAUAAUACUUUAUCAUCACACUAAAACUCUCAGGAAAACUAAGUAAAUACCAAUGGGCAUUUUCAAGUGCAUGUUCAUUUUUUCUUUUUUUUUGUUGUUGCACUACUUCCCCUCUUUACUCAUUCUAAAGCAACAAGAUUAGAGGUUCGAAAUAAUUGUGAUUACACUAUCUGGACAAUGGUAUCCUUGAAUGCCAAUCUUCAUGACAAACCCCAAUGACAUUAGCUGAAUAUUUCCUAAACCAAUAUAUAAGAAAGUUAUUGGAACUUGAAAGAGAACGAAAGACAUAGAAGAAAAGAUAAAGAAAUUCAUUAAAAAGAUCAAAUUUUCGUAACUAAUGAAGAAGAAUUGAGGACGGUGUGGAAUGAAAAAUGAGGAAUGUUUAUGCAUUAGAAAUAAUUUUCUUCAUUAUUUAUUCUAACUAAAAGGAUUAGAAAGAUAACACCAAAAAAUAAUUUAAUGGAUAUGAGUAUUAAGUGCAUUAAUUGUAUUUAAUUGGGUUUUUAUUGUAAAGGACUUAAAUUGCUUUGAAUUAAUGUGGAGAAAAUAUAACCGUUCCUUAUUAUGUGACCGUUACGUUUUCCUUUUAAAAGAAUAAAAAAAAAUUAACAUACAAAAUGUGAAAAAAAAGUCAAAAAAAUAUGGUGAAAGAUAAAUGCCUUUCUUGACAUUCUAGACAUGACAUAUCAGCAUGCUACUUAUUCUCUUUUAUAUAGAGAGAGAUUCUAGACAAUUUUUUUUUAAAUUAUUAAUUAAUUAUUUGCUUGAUUAAAAGAUAAGAUUAGAAAAAAUAAGAAAAUCCAUGAUAACUUAGGAUUUCUUUUCUUAAAUUUAGGACUUUUUAUUUUGUUUUAUACAAAUCUCUCGUGUCCUUUAGAAGAAUGGAGAGAUUAACGAAGAUGUCACUCAUUGGAUUGGAGUAAAGUGAAUGAAAUAGAGGCUCGCCUCCGAAUCUUAUGUGACAGAAAGGUACCUCCUAAACUUAAAGACAAGUUCUAUAGAGUGGUGGUUAGACCAACUUUGUGCCAGAGAUGAGAAUGCUUAGAUGGAUGUGUGGUUGAACUAGAAAAGAUAGGAUUAGAAAUGAGGUUAUUCGAGAUAGGGUGAGAAUGGCAUCGGUGGAAGACAAGAUCAGGAAAGUGAGGUUGAGAUGGUUUGGUCAUGUCUUGAGGAGGGGCGUGGAUGCCCCGGUGCGGAGGUGUGAGAGGUUGGUUAGGGAUGGAUUCAAGCAAGGUAGAGGUAGACCAAAGAAAUAUUGGAUGGAGAUGAUUAGACAGGACAUGGAGCAUCUGCAGCUUACUGAGGACAUGACCCUUGAUAGGAAAGUUGUGGAGGAGGCGAAUUAGGGUAGAAAAAUUAGUAUGAGUUUAGAAUAUUUUUUCUUUUAUUAUACUACUUGGUGUAUCUUGUAUAUUGUAUUAUUGGGUAUGUUGAUUUUAUCCUUUUAUUAUUUCUUGUCUAGAUUAUUUUAUUUUGAGUCGGGGGUCUAUCAAAAACAACCUCUCUGUCUCAUUCUUAAGGUAGUGGUAUGGGCUGCGUACACUUACCUUCUUAGACCCCACUUGGUGGGAAUAUACUGAGUAUAUUAUUGUUGUUGUCUCGUGUCCUUCCACAAAGCAAAUUUAUUAUUUUCCUUUUGUUCAUUAGUCUUCAAUUAUGGUUUGAAUAGUAGUCAUUAAAAACGUGAUCAUAUUGUGCAUAUUGUUGAAUCUUGAAGAUUAUCAUUUUAGGUUGUAUUCUUUUGUAUUUGUUAUUUUUGUGGUAUUUUUUUCGUGAAGUAGAUCAAAUCUGAAGUCCCAUUAUCCUAUAAUUUUUAAAAUUUUAUAAAGAAGGGGGAGGUCUAUUGAAAACAACUGCUUUAUAUGAAGUAUAAGUAGGAUGCAUACACUUUAGUCUUUUCCGAACUCCACUUUGUGAGAUUAUAAUAAGUAUAUUAUUAUUGCAAUUUUAUGUAGAGACGUAUCUUUAAAUUUAAAUUUGUGUUGGUAUAUAAUUAACAAAUUAAUGAAAUAUAAUUUUUGUUGUGUUUGUUUUCUUUGGAUGCGAAUAGGCAGUAGGUCAUCACAUGACAUAAGAACUUAAAAUUUAAAUGUCUCGCUUAUUUUUAUUAUCAUUAGCAUGAAUAAUCAAAUCAUUUUUUAUUAAAAUAAUCAAAUAGUUAAUAAUUGUGUAAUGCCUAUCAUGUUUUUUUUUAUAUAUAUAUAAGUGAUUUUUUAAAAUUAAACUCACUAAAAUUGAACUCGCUAUUGAGCAACACUAUGAAGAUUUGGGAGAGAGUGAUCGAGUUGAGGUUGAGGAGGAUAAUGUCUAUCUCGGAAAAUCAGUUUGGUUUUAUGCCCGGGCGCUCGACGACGGAGGCAAUUCACUUGGUGCGGAGACUGGUGGAACAGUAUAGGGAAAGGAAAAGAGAUCUGCACAUGGUGUUUAUCGACUUGGAGAAGGCGUACGACAAAGUCCCUAGGGAGGUGUUUUGAAGAUGCUUGGAGGGGAGUGGGGGUAGGGGUGGCGUAUAUUAGAGCAAUCAAGGACAUGUAUAAUGGAGCUAAGACCCAGCAGAGAACAACGGGAGGAGACUCAGAGCAUUUUCCUGUGGGGGGGGGGGAGGGGGUGUGAAUGAUAAAUUAGAGGUGUGGAGACGGACCUUGAGUCUAAAGGGUUCAGGUUGAGCAGAAGCAAGACAAAAUAUUUGGAAUGUAAGUUUAAUGAUGUGAGGCAGGAAGAUGAGGUGGUAGUAAGGUUGGAUUCCCAGACGGUGUGUAAGAGGGAUAGUUUCAAGUAUCUGGGGUCCAUGAUUCAGGGGAAUGGUGAGAUUGACGAGGAUGUCUCCCAUCGUAUUGGAGCGGGAUGGAUGAAGUGGAAGCUCUCCUCGGGGGUGUUGUGUGAUAGGAAGGUGCCGCCCAAUCUUAAAGGCAAAUUCUAUAGGGUGGCAAUCCGUCCAGGCAUGCUGUAUGGAGCGAAUUGUUGGCUAGUCAAGAACUCUCACAUUCAAAAAUUGAAGGUGACAGAAAUGCGGAUGUUGCGUUGGAUGUGUGGGCUUAAUAGGGAUGAUAGAGUUCGAAUUGAGACUAUUUGGAAAAAGGUUGGAGUGGCUUUGGUGGAGGACAAGAUGCGAGAAGUCCGAUUGAGAUGGUUCGCGAAUGUGAUGAAGAGGGGCAUGGAUGUCCCGGUUCGUAGGUGUGAGAAGCUUGCUAUGGAUGGUUUCAGGCGGGGUAGGGGUAGGCCGAAUAAAUACUAGAGAGAGGUGAUCAGGCGGGACAUGGAGCAGUUACAGCUCACUGAGGACAUGACCCUAGAUAGGAAGAUCUGGAGGCCGCAGAUUAGGAUAGAAGGCUAGUAUCAGUUUGAGUCGUUGGGGUAGGACAUUACUUGGUAGAUGUAUUAUUCUUGCUAGGACACUUUGUUGUAUGUUUAAUUACGAAUGUUUUUACUAUUCUUUGUUUAUUAUUCCUUGUGGGUGGCGUAUUUUUGUCUUGGCAUCCUGUUCCAUGCUCUAUUAAGUAUCUGUUUAUUAUUCCUUGUCUUGAGCCGGGGGUCUAUCGGAAACAGCCUUUCUACUUCUCCUGAAGUAGUGGUAUGAAUUUGCGUACAUCUUAUCCCCCAAACCCCACUAUGUGGGAAUACACUGGGUUUGUUGUUGUUGUUGAACUCACUAAAGUAAGGAACACGCGCGAGACGGAUACAAGAUCUCAAAUUUUGGAAGGACAUUUCAGGCAUUUCUCUUCUUUAGUUAAGUAAAUUCAAGUUAUCAGACAUGGCAAUCGAUAGUGUCUUUUUGUUAAAUCUUUUCAUUUUUAUCAUUAUUAUUUUUGUUAGAACCAUUCCUACUUGUGUGUUUGUAAUUGUUCUCUCUUGCUACCUAAUAGAUGGUCUUUUAAUUAAAACUCUACUAGUUAACUAGUGAGUUUUGCUGCGUUUCGCGCGGUUAUAAAAGAUGAUAAAUACAAAUAUAUACUGGAAAAUAAUUGCCCAAUAAAUCAAAAUCUUAUUUCAGCCAAAACAUCUAUUGUGAAUUAUUUCAUUUUUGUAUAUGUUUUGGGAUGACAAUUUUGUCAAUUGUUCUUUCCAAAAGCACAGGGUAAUUCUAUUACAUACAGUAAAAAAUUUUGUCCAUACUAUCAAUCCAUAAGAAUUACCGGAGCUACCCUUAGAAUAGUAAUCAUUCUAUUUAACCAAUCAUAAUUUAAUAAACAUUAAUUAGACUUGUCUUCUCUUUAACAACAUCGAAGAUGCUCUCUACAACGACAAAUUAAGUGUUGAAGAAAUUAAAAAGUAAAUGAGAACCAUUCAAUUUGGCGAAACGAGUUAAAAAAUUAGUCUCUAUAUGUCGCUAUUCAAGAUGAAGAAAAUUUUAAGCAUUUAAUAAACAAUUCUCUUAUUAACAAAGUGGAAAGGAAUAAUGAGUAGUUCGAGACUUCGAGCACCAGCUCUCGGCAAUCUUCAAACCAUAGCCUCCCUCUAAGCUCUUUGUUUUUUCAGACCCGACCAACUCCACUACCUCUUGCUACAUUAUCUGAAGCUUGAUUUGUUCACUUUCCCUCCAGAACAUUUACUAAGAGUAACAAUCUUUGAUUGAAUAGAUGAUAUGGGAUCUUGCAAUAUAUACAACACAAUAUGGUCAAGCAUCUGCUUCAAUAAAUGACCAAACAAUACUAAUAACCAUUAUAACUGAAGUCUACAUAAUUUUAUUUUUUUUAUAAUCGUGGUGUCCAAUUCAGUUUAUGUCACUUACUUAUAAUGUCAUCUUAAAAUUUGCAUGUUGACCUACUUGUUCCAUUUUCAAAUGAAAAAACAGUAUAAGUUGAGAAAAUGCAACAGAAGGUACAAUACUUAAACCUUUCUAGAGGUUUAUCAAUCAACGUUGUUUGUGAUUUGAGUAUGCAUUUAUUGUUAACCACUAAGAGGGCAAGCACGCACCUUAUAAUGAUAACACAAUCAUUAUCAGAAUCAUUUGUUUCCUUCAAAGUUUGUACAUUUUGUCACCAUUAGUUCUCUGCACCAGUAAGUAAACUGAUCAGAAUAUAAGUGAUAUUUCAUUAUCAUUGUCAAUUGAUACAAGCAAUCCGUUAAAUAAAAGGAUCAUUAUGAAUUAGGUCAUCUACUUUAAUCUUUAAGUGCAGUAAUAAAGUUCAUAUAUAUUUGAUUAAAAAGUCAACGUAUUAGUUUUUCUAAUCUAGAUUGUACAAACUUAAAUUAUAUGACAAGAGUUCCAUAUUUAACUUGCUUAUAAGUAGUGAGGUAAAGAAGAACAGAAAGUCAAAAAAAUAUAAUUAGGUUGAUAGCUUCUCAAAGUCAAAAAAUGAUUGUCUAAGUGACAUGAGGCUUUGGGCCAUACGUGACAAAAGAGUUUUAAAAUGAGGUGUAGGUAACACAAGUCUUAAUUAUUAGGCGGAGGUGACAAUUACUUUAUUAUGGAUUAAGAAAGUUGGGAAAGUUUGAAAAUAACCCACAAGUUUUUAAAUUACACUUUGAUUCAAAUGUUAGCCUAUAUAACGGAAAACAGAGAAGAAAAAUGCAUCUUUCUCUCUCUUCUCAUCCAUUGUUGUUUUCUCUCUCUUAGCGAUUUUUGUUGUUCAUUGUUGUUGCUGCUUCAUUCAUCAUUUUCUGCUUCAUUAUCAUCAUCUUCUACAUCAUUAUCAUCUUCAUCUUGUUCUUGUUGACCAUUUGUUGUUGUUGUUACCGCUACUGUUGCUAUUUGACCAAUUUCUUAGGUCAAAUUUUAUUUCUAACAUCAUUUUCCACUUUGGCAUUACUUCAUAGGAGACGUUGGUAAGUCAAAUUAUGAUUUUUAGUUGAAUUUAUCAUUUGGGUAACUGUUAUUGGGUUGUUGUUUUCCAAUAAUGGAACCCAAUCAUGAAUCCAACAUAAGAUCCAUCUGUUUAAACAGAUAAAUCAUCUGUUGCGGCAGAUGAGACAUCUGUUUCAACGGAAGACUGAUAUAUUGAUUCAUAUUUAAAUAGAUAGGUCAUUUGUUGCAAUAUUUGACACAUCUAUUGCAACAGAACCUGAACACGAUUCCAACAUCUGUUACAACAGAUUACUAACCUGUUGCAAUAGGUAAGUCAUCUGUCGCAACAGGUUAAUUAACUGUUGCAAUUGUCACUCAUCUGUUGGAAUCAGCUUCAACGGUGAUUUAGUACUAUAACAUCAAUCCCAACAGGCACUUCAUCUAUUGCAACAGAUAUUCAAGAGCGUAACAUGAAUCCCAAUAGGUAAGAAUCUGUUGUGACUGAUCACUUACCUAUCGCAACAGAUAAUACAUCUGUUGGGAUUCAUUCACGGCACUAUGAAAUCACUAUCAACUUUUUUUAACAAAUGACUUUAUUUAGGUACCCCUAAUGGAGGGAUCAAUAACAAUAAAGGUGGAUUGUCAUGGUCAAUGGGUCGAGAAGAGAAAUUGAUAUGUAUGGCGUUGGAAGGAGGGUGAAAUGCUAGAGAUGAUAGCUAUGGCAGUCUAAAGUGAUGUUUUGUAUGAUGAUUUUGUUAACUUAAUCAUCAGCUUUUGUGGACUGAAUUGUCAACCGGAAGAAUUCGUCAUCAGCUACAUGCAUAGCUCCUUUGAAAAUCAGAGGGUACUGCCUUUCAAGAUAAUUGAUCCGGUUCGGUUGUGUGCUUAUCUAAGUGAUUCAACUAGGCCGGUGUUAAGGGUUUACAUGGUUGAAAAGAUGAGAGAGAAUGAGAACCAAAACGUAUAAGAAGAAGAAGAAGAAUAAAAAGAAGACUUCUUUGAAGAUAGGUUGGAUGAUCUAGACAUGAAUAUUCCAGAUGGUGAUCAAACACCUACGCCCGUUGAUGCGACCAAUACGAUGUGCAAUUCUUCGCAAUCGACAUAGUCUGGAAAUCUUCAAGACGAUGGAAUCUACUUUUUUAUUGGAAUGUCAUUCAAGGACAAGAAUGAACUAUCUAACACUUUGUUUAUUUCUUUCUUGCAAAAAGAUUUCAGAAUAAAGAAGGUGAUUAAUUCGAGCAGUGUCUUUUACUUUAAAUGUGCUAAUUCGAACUGCAAGUGGUGGUUGAGAGCGGUGAAGUACGCAAGUUCUGACAGAUUCGUUAUUCAUAAAUAUGAAAAGCAUCACACAUGUGGUUCGGAGCACAUCUUGGGCCAAAAUCCUCACGCCACGACAAAGGUCCUCGGUGAAUAUUUCAGGAGUAGUUUCCCCGAUGGCAAAGGCCCUUCAACAAGGCUUAUAGCCAAUCAACUCCUUAUGGAUUUGGGUGUCCUGGUCAGUUAUUGAAAGGUAUAUACGACCAUGGGGAUUGCCAAGGACCUGGUUUGGGGGACACUCAAGCAUGGGUAUGCAGUCUUGCAUGCUUACCGUUACAUGAUUGAGUCCACAAAUCCCAAAAGUAAGACGACAUUGCAUCUGGAUGAAAAUGGAAGGUUCAACUACUUUUUUGUAUCCUAUGGUGCUUGGAUUCAAGGUUUUUGACAUUUGAGAAAAGGCAUAGCCGUCGACGGUACCUUCUUGAGGAGCAGGUAUAAUGGAGUUCUGCUAGCGACAGUGGCACAAGAUGCGGAGAAUCACAUCUUUCCUGUCGCUUUUUGUGUAGCGAACAAGGAAUGUGAUGCCACUUAUGGAUUUUUUUUGAACAACUGCGACGCUGCGUCAAAUAUACCGAAGAUUUGUGUUUUGUAUCAGAUAGGCAUCUAAGUAUUCCAAAGAUGGGUUCACUUUUCUUCACUUUAGCUUACUUUGGUUGUUGCAUCAGGCAUCUUGGAGAGAACAUUCGAAACAACUAUCACAACGAAAGGGUCGUCACCCUUUUUUAUAGAGCAGUUAAAGCAUAUAGUAGAGAGGAGUUUUUAGACCAUUUCAAUCAAAUAGCGGAUGUGAAUCCCAAGGUAGCAGAAUUUCUCACACGUGUCGGUUUCAAGAGAUGGAGCUGGGCAUUCUAUCCAGCAAAUAGGUACAUUCUUAUAAAUUUAAUGUCUUAUUUGAUUUACAAGUUUAGUAUGAUGUCCUACUAAGUGAUUCUUUUCUAUAGGUAAAAUAUUAUAAUAUCAAACAUAGCUGAAUCGGUGAAUUCAUUGUUUGGAGAUGAAAGAGAAUUUUCCAUCAAGGUUAUGUUUGAAAAAAUAAGCGAGAAGUAUAACGAUUUUUUUAAUGAAAGGCGUGUACAGUUCAAGUGCCCAGAAAAAAGAACCUGAUUUGUUCUCAAAAUCGAAAAGAAAAUAUCAACGAACAAUAUUUUGAGGAAUAGGUUAUUCUCUUAUAAAAUAGCAAAUUACAAAUUCUGUAUCACCGGUCAUGGUGAUGCUGCCACGAUCGAUCUUCAAACAAGAUGUUGUACGUGUAGAGUUUUUGACUUGGACAAAAUACCUUGUCCACAUGCUAUGACAGCGUUUCGAGCUCAAUACGAUCAUAAAUAUGGACCUGAAGUUUACAAGCACUCUUCUCAAUAUUAUUCGGUGGAAAAUAUGAAAUGACAUAUAGUGAGCAUAUUACUCUGGUGCCUCCCGAAGAAUCUUGGGUUGUUCCAGUAGAGCUUAUGAGGAGAUUAAUACCUCCUCCAUAUAUUGACUCGAGCACUAUUAAAUCGGAAAGAAAGCCAUAUAAGAGGAGGUGUGGAGUUGGAGAAUCAUUUUCAUCAAGAAGAAACAAGUGCUCCAUAUGUAAGUGCGCUGGCCACAAAAAAACUACAUGCCCGAAUCAUAAUCCACCAUGAUCGUUGUAAUUGCAGAAACUUGUGUUGUUGUUUGUUUGUUUGUUGUGGACUUUUAUAUAUUUAACUAAUUAUUGUGAACCUAAUGUUAUCAUUUAUUCUAUAUAAAAUGUCUUUUUUUAAAUAACCUGUGCAUCAAUAAAAAGAGGUAAAACAUGAACUAAAUAAUACAGCAGACCGCAAUUAUUCUCAACAGUUGCACAAACAACUAGAAUAUUUUCCUCCAACAUAUGACAAAUCUGUCAAAAUAGAUGGACAAUCUGUUGAUAGAAACCCAACAGAUGACCAAUCGAUUCCAACACAUGGUCCAUCUGUUGAAAUAACUCAAAAGUCAAAAUUGCUAAUGCUACUGGAUUCAACAUUGCCUCCAACCGUCGACAUGUUAAAAUGUAUUAGAUUAAAAGAAAUAGACAGAAUAAAAAUUGAAUAAGAAUUAAAAUGCCAAAGUCUGACUAAAAGUAAAUUUUUUAUCAAACGAAAAAUAAAAUACAUUAGGUAUAGAUCCGAUAUAGAAAAAUUAAAAUACAUACGCUAAAAGAAAAAAUACAUUCUAAUUAUUAUUAUUAUUAUCAUCAUCAUCAUCAUUAAUGACAGCUGGCCAAUCAACUCGCAGCAGCAGGACUCUUAUCAACCUCCGCAUCUCUCUGAAAAUCAUCGCUCUCACAGCGACCAACUUGCCCUGUAGGUCAUUAACCUGCCUCUAAAGUUCCCGCUAUGUGUCGUGUAGAAAAGAAAUGUCCAAAAAAGGAUCAACCAUAUCUAAAACAUGCAUGAAUUGACAAAUGUAAAGAAAAAAGUCUAAAAUAUAAUACAACGUAUACAACCAACUGGUAAAUUUACACCAAAAAAAACUUACCUCAACGAUAAAAGAAUAUGCUCUUUGAAGAGAAGUGGUUGAAGAUGUCAUACGAAAAGAAGAAAUGCAAGAAACAAAUAGAGUUGAAUGAAGAUUAAGGAGGGACCUAUUUAUAGAGGAUUGAAUCUGGACGAGUCAGGCCAAAAGGCGGGACUGUUCAACUCCAUUGUAUUAAUUACAUUCAAACUGGUGGCAUUUUGUUUUCUGUGAAAAGUCAUAACUUUUUAUUUUACAUUAAUUACUUCUCACCUUUUCAUAGCGGUUUGAGACUCGAUAAAAGCCGUUAUUAUUGAGCUGUUGCAACAGAUGGAUUGAAUGUGCAACAGAUGGUCUGUCAAAACAGAUUUACCAUCUGCUGCAAUAGAUGGUUUGUAUAUGUAACAGAUAAGACAUCUGAUGCAGCUUAUGUAUUAUCUGUUGCGACAGAUGGGCAGUAUGUUGGAGGAGAUGUUUUGAUAUCUUCUAAUAGCUGAUUCAUCAGUUUGAACAGAUGGAGUAUUUGGUUCAUUAGCUGUUUAGAAUGUGUUAGAUAAAAAGUCGCGACUCUUCACCUCUUUUUAAUAGUCCCUCCGUUUCGUAUUAGUUGGGCCCUAUGGACUUGGUACACCAAUUAAUAAAAUAUAAAUUAGGUGAUUAUUUUACCAAAUUGGCCUUCUUAGUUAUGAUUUGAAAAUAUGAAUGUGAAUAAUAUACUUUAUGUAGUCAUUUAAUAAUAGGGGUAAUCUUGGAAGAAUAUAAUAAAAUUCUCUUAACUUUAUAAAUAGGAAAACUAAAUUGAAACAAACAUUUUUAGCAAGAAGUAAUGACAUGCGUAUAGAUGAAUAGAAAAAAUAGUCUAGUCUGUCGCAACAGAUUUACCAUCUGUUGCAACAUAUGGAUUAUCUAUUGCGACAGAUGGACCAUAUGUAGGAGGAGAUGUUUUGAUUUCUUCCAACAGUUGAUUCGUCAGUUGCAAUAGAUGGAGAUUUCGAUUCAUCAGCUAUUUUGAAUGUGUUAAGAUAAAAAGUCGCAACUCUUCACACCUCUUUUUUAAUAGUCAUCACAUGCGUGCAUAUGAAUAAACAACACUGUCUGACAUGUCCUGAUGGGGUAGGAAGAAUAAGGUAUGUGGAAUGGAUUCCAUUUUUAUGCAUGUGAGUUAUGUAUAUUAUUAAUCAGGCUACCCUGAAGAAACACAUAAAGUGCAAUGAUUUUGUGAAUGCAGUUUUUUACCGAUUAUACACUGAUCCUUCAAACAAGAUCCUGCAUGUAUAGUUUAGUUUGAUAGGUGCAAACUGAUAAGGACGAAGAGUUCUAAGACGGUGGUGUCGAUACCCCGUUACAAUUUAAUGAUGGUUUAUGCUCAUGUUUUUGUGUCAAGUUUGGGGAAGGGUUCAACUUUUUUACGGCAGUAUGAAUAUCCAAUAGUGAUUGGACCGGUUUUAAUGGCGCAAUGGACUUCUUGAAAAGCCUUCGAAGCCUCGCAAUGCAGCAAACAAUAAUGGAACUAAUAGAAAUUUCACUGGUCCAAAUUUAUAUGGAUGGAUUGCUGGAGGAGACUUUUUACAGCAGAAGGUGCUUGGGAGAAUACCUGUGCACGAAGGGGGAGGUGGAGAAGGCCAUAUAUCAUUUCAGACCUUGUUUAAGAGGAGACAUAGGGUAGGAAGGAAAGUGUAGCGAAAUUGGACAAUGAAAUUCACAUGAGAAACGAAAAAACUGGAUGAGUUUCAAAUGUGAAAGUGUAUCAAAAUAUAAAAAUCUGUCAGUCGAUGAAAAAAAGAAGAAUGUUCAACAGGACUGGAGCUGGACACUUUUCUUGAGAAUGUAACUAGCGAGUGUGGCCUUAAUGAAGACUCUCACAAAGUGCAGGACCAGAACUCCAAGGAAAAAGCUUCGCGAGCACGAAAGGUGGUAAGAUUAUCGGUCAAAAUUGAAACCUACAUGUUAAUUCAGACCGACAAUCUUACCACCUUCCAUGCCCGCGAAACUGCUUCCUUAGAGUUCUGCUCCUGUAUUUUGUGGGUCUUCAUUGAGGCCACGCUCACUAGUUGCAGUCUCUAGCAAAGUAACCAGCUCAAUUCCUCUUGACCAUUCUUCUCUUUUCUUCAAUGACCGAUGGAUUUUUAUUUUUGGAUACACUUUCACUUUCGCAGCUCAUCCAACUUUCAUUUUUCAUGUCAAUUUCAUAAGCUAAUUUCGCUACACUUUCUUCCCACCUUGUGUAUCCUCUUAAACAAGAACUGAGAUGAUAUAUGGCCUUCUCAAGCUCCUUCUUCCCACACAGGUUUUCUCCCAAACACCUUCUGAUAUAUAAUAGUCUCCUCCAACAACCCAUCCAUAUAAAUUUGGACCAGGGAAAUUUCUAUUAGAUCCAUUAUUGUUUGUCGUAGUGCGAGGCUUCGGAGGCCUUUCAACAAGUCCAUUGCGCCAUUAAAACCGGUCCAAUCACUAUUGGAUAUUUACACUGCCGCCAAAAACUUGAACCCUUCCCUAAACUUGACACAAAAACAUGAGCAUAAACCAUCAUUAAAUUGUAAUGGGGUAUCGACACCACCGUCUUGGUCCCUCAGCCUUACCAGUUUGAACCUAACAAUCUUAACUGUAAAAUGCCAUAUCUUGUUUGAAUGAUUAAUGCCUAAUAGGUAAAGAACAAACAUUCACAAAAUCAUUAUACUGGAUGUGUGUUUUCAUGAUUGGUUGAUCAGUAAUACAUACCCCUCACAUAUGAAGUGGUUCCAUCUGCAAGCAGCUUAUUCCUCCGAACCCAUCUUUACUCUAGCCUUUAAUGUUGGCCCGGCAAAAGUGGAUCCAGUUUCACUUCCUUUUGUCUGCAAACAAGAGAAAUACAUUUGAUGUCAAACAAGAGAAGAACAAAAAGAAAACAAAAAUAACAUUACAAAAGGGUAACACAAAAUUGAGUGAAUCAACAGAUGACCAAUAUGAUGUAAUAGAUUACCCAUCUGUUCAAUCGAUGAGUCAUCGUUGCAAAGGAUGGAUGACAUGUUGCAACAUAUGGGUUAUCUAUUGGAAUAAAUCAAACCAGCCUUGUUACUGGUUUGAUUUCUUCAAAUAGUUGCUCCGUCUAUUCUAACAGUUGAUUCAUCAAUUGUAAUAGUUGAGAAAACUGUUGCAACACCACCAACAAUAGCAUCAACAACACCAUAUGUUCCAACACUAUCCACAACAUAAACAUCACAUGUUCCAACACAACCACCACCCCCAACAAUAGCACCACCAAAGUACCAAACAAAAGAUAUAAAAAAACUAUACUGACAACGAGGUUUUUUAAGUUCUCCCAACAGGUGACUUUUUUCGCAUAUUUUAAUAAAAACAAUAGUUCGUUCAUUCAAAACUUAAAAGUCACCUUUCUUUCAAUUUUCUCUAUAAAUAGAAAACUGAUAAUGGGUAAAUCAUUAAUAGCAACAGAUGUAAAUAUCUAAUUUAAAUGACAUACAAAGAAGAAGACGAGAUGAAAAGAGAAACAGUAAACCAUACCUGUAAUGUCAAAAAAACAAAUGGAUCAGAACAUCCAGUUCAGUCAAGAAAAGAUAUUGAUUGGUUGAGAUCCUAAAGGAUCCUCAUUCGAAAGAAGAGAGAAAAGAAGAAAAAAAGGAAACAAAGAUAAUUGAGAAUAUAGAAUAAAGACGAGUGAUGAGUUGAGUCUAGACUUACUUUAUGGCUGAAGGAGAGAGAUUUCUAGAUAUGAGGUUUUUUAAAUAUUCAUUAAUAACUUUUAACGGACACAAAGAGACGGUGACAUUGAAAAGACCAGAUAAGACUACUCACUCAGAAUAUUUUUGAGUUAUCCUAGUAGUACCGAGUAAUAUUUUUUACCGCCUUAGUAUUUUAACUAUUUUAUCUCAGACAGAAAAUACCUAAAUUGCUUUGAAAAAAAUCUUAAAAUAUUUAAGUACAACAGAUGACUUAAUCUGUUUGAUAGUUUACAACAAAUUCAUGAUCUUUUGCAACAAAUAACAUAAUCUGUUUGAUAGUUUACAACAGAUACGUAAUAUGUUGCAACAGAUUACCUAAUCUGUUUGAUUUGAUCUAACAGAAAAGACAUCUGUUGCAAUAGGUUGAACAUUUGUUUAUAUAUAAUUUCAAUUGAGUUCAUAUGUUAUACUAAUACCUUAAUUGAAUGUGAGUUCUCAUAGGGUCAACUACAACUUCAAUUGAAUCUUUUGGCAAUUGCAUGAUGAGAUAGUAUUGCGUUUUUCCCGACCAGAGUCGUUGAUCGAUCAAUCUGAGCCGAACUGGUUCUUACUACCUUAUAUGUUAGACUAAUACAUUAAGGUGUCGUUUGGUUUGAAAAUGGUUAUCCCGAGAUAACUAAUUAUCCCGAGAUAAAAUAAAAGAACACAUUUUUCUUUGUUUGGUUGGAGAGAUUAAUCCAACCUGGGAUAACUUAUCCCACCAUUUUACCCUUAGUCCUGGGAUAACUUAUCCUAUAUACAUAGUAGGAUAAGUUAUCCCAGGUAAUCUCCAGAUAACUAAUCCCGGUAUUAGUUAUCUCGGGAUAACCGUUUUCAAACCAAACGACACCUAAUUGAUUAAUCUAGGACUAGGGUACUAAUACCUUAAUUGAAUAAUAUAGGACUAGGGGUGAUUUCUCAUAGGGUCAACUACAACUUUAAUUGAGUCUUUUGGCAAUUGCAUGAUGAGACGGUAUUACGUUCUUCCUGGCCAGCGUCGUCGAUCGAUAACUCUGAGCUGAACCGAUUCUUACUACCUCAUAUGUUAGACUAAUUCCUUAAUUGAUUAAUCUAGGACUAGAGUACUAAUACCUUAAUUGAAUAAUUUGGGACUAGGAGUGAGUUCUCAUAGGGCCAACUACAACUUCAAUUGAGUCUUUUGGCAAUUGCAUGAUGAGCCGGUACUGAGUUCCUCCCGACAAGAGUUGUCGAUCGAUCACUCUAAGCUGAACUAAUUCUUACUACCUCAGAUGUUAGAUUAAUACCUUAAUUGAUUAAUCUAGGACUAGGUAACUAAUACCUUAAUUGAAUAAUUUGGGAUUAGGGGUGAAUUCUCAUAGGGUCAACUACAACUUCAAUUGAGUCCUUUGGCAAUUGCAUAAUGAGAUGGUACUGUGUUUCUCCCGACAAGAGUCGUCGAUUGAUCACUCUGAGCCGAACCGAUUCUUAAUACCUCAUAUAUUCAACUAAUACCUUAAUUGAUUAAUCUAGGACUAGGGGUGAGUUCUCAUAAUGUCAACUACAAUAGAUGAUAGCGCCUAUUUGAUAAUUUACAACAGAUAUGUAAUCUAUUGCGACAUAUUACUUAAUCCAUUUGAUAAUUUACAAUAGAUAGGUAAUCUAUCACAACAGAUAACUUAAUCUAUUUGAUAGUUUACAACAGAUUCAUGAUCUGUCGCAACAAAUAACGUAAUUUGUUUGAUAGUGUACAAUAGAUGUGUAAUAUAUUGCAAAAGAUUACCUAAUCUGUUUGAUUUGAUCCAAUAGAAAAGACAUCUGUUGCAACAGGUUGAGUAUUUAUUUAUAUAUAAUUUAAUUGAGUCCAUAUGCUAGACUAAUACCUUAAUUGAAUGUGAGUUCUCAUAGGGUCAACUACAAUUUCAAUUGAGUCUUUUGGCAAUUGCAUGAUGAGACGGUACUGCAAACCUCCCGACCAGAGUCGUCGAUCGAUAACUCUGAGCUGAGCCGAUUCUUACUACCUCAUAUGUUAGACUAAUACCUUAAUUGAUUAAUCUAGGACUAGGGUACUAAUACCUUAAUUGAAUAAUCUGGGACUAGGGGUGAGUUCUUAGGGUCAACUAUCGAUUAAUCUAGGACUAGGGGUGAGUUCUCAUAGGGUCAGCCACAACAGAUGGCAACGCCUAUUUGAUAAUUUAUAAUAUAUGGGUAAUCUGUUGCGACAUAUGACAAUCCAUUUGAUAAUUUACAAUAGAUGGGUAAUCUAUCGCAACAAAUGAAUUAAUCUGUCUGAUAAUUUACAACAGAUUCAUAAUCUAUUGUUACCUAAUCUGAUUGAUAAUUUACAACAGAUGAGAAAUCUGAUGCAACGUGUUAAACAUUUAUUUUUUAUAAUUUCAAUUGAGUUCAUAUGUUAGACUAAUAGUACCUAAAUUGAUUAGUCUAGGCCCAGGGGUGAGUUUUCAUAGGGUUAACUAGAGUACUCGGUCAACUACAACUUUAAUUGUUUUUAUACAAUUUCAAUUGAAUUAUCCAUUUGGCAAUUACAUGAUGAGAGGGUUAAAAAGUACGCAUAUAUUUUAUGAUUUUAAAAAUAAUUAAGAUCAAUUCAAACCAAAUUAACAUUUUUAAAACUUGUCAUUCUUUUUCAAAAUACAAAGCAACCCAUACAAAAUGGUUCAUCAUUUCAAAUCUCGAGGUCUCGCUCUUUCUCUCUUAUUCUCACUUAACAAUAUAGUACAAAAAACAACUACUCAAUAAAUUUGCUCAACCCUCCACAAUAGAUCAUUUUUCUUCUUAUUUUCGAUCACAUAGGUGUUAUUUUCGACUUUAUUCUUGCUUGUAUCAGUCAUUUUCUUUGUCUUCGUAAGCAAUAGAGUUCGAAAAGAGAUCUAUAUUUGUUAUUUUUUUCUAAAAAAAUAAGGGCUUUUAAGUUAAUGAUGAAAAAUAAAACUUUUAGUUGUAUUAUCUUCGAGAAUGGGUUUACAAUUUUGAGUUUUGAUGGUAAAAUCAUAGGAAAAACUCAAGAAAUCCCUAGUUUCCGUUGCAGUGUUUUGUUGACUGUCGUGGUAUUAUUGGGUGGUGUUUGUGGUGUUGGUGGUAGUGGUGGUGGUCAUCAUUGUCGUCGUCAUCGUGGUGACACUGGUUGUGUCAUUGGUUGGUGGUGUUUGUGGUGGUUGUCGGUGGUGUCUGUAUUCAUGGUGUUUGUUUAUUGCCAUUGGUUAGUGGUGUUUGUGGUGGUG
rnacentral:lncRNA from 1 species